rnacentral:lncRNA from 1 species
GCUCAGGUCGACAACUGACGGCAGCCGUGUGUGAAUUUGGGACGGCGAUGUGUGCUGAAGUUUGUUGUGAUGUACUACCUUUAUGUGUGUAUGGACCUGUUGAGACUGUAUGUGUGUAUGGACCUGUUGAGACUCCAGUACAAUUGUUGAACCCUCGUGUGGGUUAAGUCUCAAGUGUGAGUGAACUUGGAACUAUCUGAGCAUUUUCUGCCAGUACAACUUGUUUUAGACUUCAGUACAAUUUCUUUCCAACUAUUUUCUGCCUGCAUCUUUUGGUAGUACUCCCUCCGUAAAGAAAUAUAAGAGUGUUUAGAUCACUACAUUAGUGAUCUAAACACUCUUAUAUUUCUUUACGGAGGGAGUACUAUUUACUACUCCCUCCGUCCCAUAAUAUAAGAAUAUUUUUGACACUACACUAGUGUCAAAAACGUUCUUAUAUUAUGGGACGGAGGGAGUAACUUGUUUUCAAAUCAGCCAUACCAGCAAACGAUGCCUGGAGAAGAUCGCUCCCAGCCACACCAUUAUCAUGAUAACAGCAGUUUGAUCAAUAAUCUGGCUGCUGAUACAGCGCCCAUCAGGAGAAGGGAGAACUUCAAAACAGCAGGGUUACAAAGGCAGGCAUGCAAAAGGAUGUACUCCCUCCAUUCUCCCUCCAUUCCUAAAUAUAAGUCUUUGUAGAGAAUUCGCUAUGGACAACAUGCAGAUGUAUGUGGAUGCAUUUUAGAGUGUAGAUUCACUCAUUUUGCUCCGUAUGUAGUCCACAGUGGAAUCUCUACAAAGACUUAUAUUUAGGAACGGGGGAGAGUAAAUGAAUAAACAGAACUGCAGAGCCAUGCAUGAAAUACUGCCAGCGAAAAGGGCCAGGGAAUGUGCAACACAAAUCAACACGCAGUGGGUAUUAAGGAUGGCCUGUUCUCGAUAACAAGAUGGUGCAGCCUAUUCAGCAUGUCUUCAUAAGGACUACUACAUGACUUCAGAUGAAAGCUAGAAAAACUUUCUGCCCAAAAUAACCACAUCUUUUUUUUACAUGGUUUAUUAAAACCUUUCUGCUCUACUGGAUUUAUUGACGGUAAACAGAGCACAUUAUCUGAAGAAAGAAGUGCAAAAGUACAGUACAUGUACCCUCUGUUCAGCAGGCCAACAGACCGAAUGACAUGGACUAAAACGUGAUGUGAUACAUACCCCCAUCACAUGAGUUCAUCACAGUAGACUGAAUUGUCGAGGAAUGAAUUGUUUAUAGAAUGCUUGCUCGUCCUUCCUUCUUGGCAGCCGGCCUGUUCCCAGGGAAUGCAGUGCGGGAUACAUCAACGAGGGCCUUGAAGCUGUAUGGCUCAUGCAUCGACAGCUCCGAAAGUACCUUCCUGUUGAGUUGGACAUUCUCCUUCAUCAGUCCAUGCAUGAAGUUGCCAUAGUUCACCUGGGCAGUAAGUUCAGACAAUACAUCAAACACAUGUGCGUGUGCGUUCAGUAGCAAAACUAGAAACCCGAUAACUUAUACUUUGUUACAGGGACGAAGCUAGAAAAAAAUUGAUGGGGUCAGGUUUAUGACAGUGGGGUCAUCUUCUAUAAAUGAGUAAUGAUUAGUACUAAAUUAGUGAAGGAUUUACUAAUUUCAUUGGGGUCAAUUGACCCCAUUGCUUACAAGGUAGCUCUGUCCCUGCUUUGUUAUCGUAUUCUGCCUGGUUUCUUCGGAAAAAAAUAACAUGAGAAUGUAACAAACUCAUUUCCCUGUCAAACCUCGUAUGUUAAUAGAUACUACAUACCCCAUGGAGUCGUGUACCAGCAUUGAUGCGCUCGAUCCAGAGAGACCGCAUGUCCCUUUUCUUGUUGCGCCGAUCCCUGUAAGAAUAUUGCAAUGCUUUUUCUACACGCUCCCUGGCGAUUCUUAUGCAGUUUUUAGCCCUUCCUCGGAAUCCCUUGGCUAACUUAAAAAUCUUCCCCUUGUUCAUCUUUGAGGUCUUGGCUCACACAGUAUUUCCUCCCUAUAUUCACAACAUAAAAGUAAGAAGUUGGAGCAAAUUAUGAAUUACUGUAAUGAGAUAGAAGUUCAGAAUAAAACAUAGAGAAGUUGGAGCCAAUACUUCAGACAUUUAUUCCCCGAGAAGGGAAUGCAUAUGAAUAAAACAUACUUAAGAACAGUUAUUUUCAACCUAGACUUCUUCAGGAACCAGUUUAAGCUUCUCUACCCACAAGAGCUGUGGCAUAGAGAAGUCUAUAGACUGUAAGUAUCAGUUAUUCUGCCCCUUAGUUUAUUUUAUGUUCUGAUGAAGAGGCCAUGGACUGUAAUUAUGUGAAUCUUAACUUAUAUUGUGUAAUUUCUUGCUGUGUUUAUCAUAGAUAUUAUUAACAUCAUAAAACAAAUAUUACAACAAAAAUAAGAUGUAAUUGGUACUUGACAACAAGUUAGAUAAAAAGAGGUUGUGAAGGCAUUACAAGGUUUCCCCCCAAGAAAAGCAGUCACGAUAAAAACUAAUCAUCAAGGUACGACACUAGCAGCAAUAGCAUCAUGAACUGUGCCGACAGUCCGUUUUGAAUGACUCCACCUAUUUUGAAUCGCUUACACUCAUAAUUUCUCUUUGUGCGCUCACUGAACUUGUUUAUCAAAUUAACAUACCCAAGUAAGUUCAAACAUCAGGUGGGACAGUUAUUUACAUGUACUUCUUCGAUACGCACAUCAAGAGAAACUAUACAGGUCAUAGGAUCCAUCAUUACUUUCCCCCAUUUCCCAUUCUCAUCUAUGAUAUGUGACAAAAUGAAUGUUAAAACUGGAUAUGUGCUCAUUUGUUUAGUGACUACCAGAGAUGAAAAAAAUUGCGCUCAAAAAGGACCGGGUACUGCAUACUACUGAAUUAGCCGUCCGAUUAAAAAAUAACGUGAAAAUUAUAGCAAAUGCAAGCAGCAGUAGAUGUUGCAAAUGUGUGAUCUGCUUGCUAAUUCAACCGCCACCAACAAAGAAUCAUUUCCAACCAAUCCCGCACUAUCAGGUGGCAGGCAAGGGGCGUCAAGGGAUUCCGACGGUCGCGAGCUACGGCAAACAAGCACGCGGAUUCAGUAGCAGGAGCCGGGCCGGCCGUGCCGCGCGCGGUGGAAUCAUACACACCUCGCACGCGCGAGCGGGAUAUGUACAUGUGUGUGCAAGCGCGUACGUACCGAGAAGCAGGGAAGAAGAGCCGGUGCAGAGUCGGGAGCAGCUCGGAGUAGAGGGAGGCGACGGAGACCGGCGUCGGCGGCGGGCGGCGGGCGGCGGAGUGAGAGCUCGGGCGCGUGAGAGGAGAAACCUAGCGCUGCGUUUUCUGUGGAUCGAGCGAGCACGGGUGUGGGCCGAAUCAUAUUCUUGGGUGCCAAUCCGGCCCACAAGACGUCAAUAGCACCCGCGCCGCUAACCAGGGCCGGCCCCUUUAGCUGCCGCGCUUGUACAUCACUAGCCUCAUACGUUCAACGCUAUAAUAGGCCAGUCCAUAAAGUUCGCCUCCGACGUUUGUAAAAAAGGAAAGCAGACAACGCUGUGUGCAUGCAGAAAAUCAAAUAAUAUAUUGAAAUGAUUAUUUAUUUUUAUAUAAUAAUCGACAAAAGUAUAAGCAAUGAUUUUUUUAUGCAAUCAACACUGUGUUUCAUACUUUUACAUAGUGUUCAUGUAAUUUAAGAUAAGUUUUCUCAUACCUUAAAAGUAUUCCUGAAAUUUGUAAAAAUUGUUCACAUAUUUUUUUAAAUAAAUCAUGAAAUUUAAAAGGUUCUCGUACAUUUUAAAAACCAUGUACUCCCUCCAAUCCGAAUUAAUUAACGCAAGCUCAAUACAAUGUUAGUAAUGAAGAAACUGUUCCCAUUUUUUAUAAAAAAGUUCAUGUGAUCUUAAUAAAUGGUGGCUGUCGUGGCCGCGGGUGCCGCCCAAGGGGCUGCUCGAGGAGGCCAGGAGGAAGCUGCAACAGAGGAGGGACUGCGCGAGCCAGAUACUCAAGGCCGCCAUGGCGAUCAACAUCGAUGUGCAUGCUGAGAUGGAGAUCCCGGAAGUGUACUUUGAGUCGUUGCCACUUCCAAGUUUUCAUCCGUUUCCAAAUGUGUUAUGGGCAGUUUCCAGACUUUUCUCAUUUCCUCUCUAUAAGUGCUCUUUGUUUUGUGUAGGCCACAGUAGCAUGGUGUGAACCCCGCAAAAAAAAAAAGAAGUAGGAUGGUGUGCAUUUUCCAAAGCAUCCCCACAUAUACUGCAGACUCCAGUUCAAAUCUUUUUCUCUGCUUAUUCUCUUUUGUUGGCAGUUCUCCCAGCGUGAUUAUACAAAAGAUCAAACAGUGAUUAGGGAAUCAAAACAUAAACACUGAAAAGUUGCAUCGAAACACCUAAACCAUGAUAGCUCAAUGAAGGGAACCAGACAGAUUAUCUCAAUUUGGAAGCAAGUCGGGCCACUCAGUGAAGGGAUCAAUAAAAGAAGCCUUUUUUGUUUCAGGGUAUCAAAGAAUAGCGGCGGGUGACCCUGUAGGUUGAUGGCAAAGUCCAUCAAACCAUUCAUCGAGAGCUGAUGGGAAGAUCUUUUGCACAAAAUUUACCAGUGAAAUAGUAUAACUUUGAGAAUUGAGACUAAUAUUUUUGAAAGGAGAAAUAACUAUCAACACCUCGAGGAGAAACUUAUAUACAGGCGAUUCUCAUUCCAGCUAAAUUCUCAACUUCUGAUGAAGCCAUGAUUCUACACAGUUUCCGACAAACAACAAAUUCCCACACAAUACACUGGAAAAGGGGAAUAAGAAAUGUAAAUACAGGCGAUUCUCUCCCAGAUCACGAAUCAGGACAGGUACUCAAAAGGUUGGGGCGGCUGGGGCUCGUCGUCAACAGCCAUGGCAGAGGCACCCGACACCGGCUGCCCUGUCGCAGGGGCGUCGGUGAGCACAACAAGCUCCUCGGCCUCGCUGGGCUGCGUGUCUCGUAGGAGGAUGAACCCGCCGCAGGGGGCGGGCCUCACGGGACGUAUCGGCUGCCCUCGAUGAACUUGAUGAACUUCUCCUGCAGGGGGACGACGCAGGCUGGGUUCGACAGGAUCUGGAAGGCCGGUUCUGGCUCUGCGGCCUUCUUCUCUGCAGUGCUGUCCACCUGGGAACAAAGAUUGAGAGAGACCGGUCAAUCCAAAUGAGGCCACAGACUGACUGGGGUUGGUUCAUUACUGAGCAGCUAAGGGCUAGCUAUGCUCAACUGUGCUGUGAUGUCUAGUUGACUAGCAUAUGGUUUAAUUAAUUAUGGCCUGAACCUACCAAAGUUUGCAAAAUUCUGCCGUGAUGGGAAAAAGUUGAAGCCAAGCAGAUACAGUGAGGUUUUAUUCUUACCUGCAUUGCAUCAGCUGCCUUGCCAGAAGUAGAACCAGAAGCAUCUUCCGUUGUUUUCUCCUGGUUAGCUUUGCUUUCUGCUUCUGCUGCUGUCUUCUCCUGGUUAGCAGCAGCUUUGCUUUCUGCAUCCUUCUUCGCCCUAGAUUUUGCCUUGGCAUAGGUUGACAAAAUGGCCGUGGGCAGCUCAACAGCUGAAGUUGUAGUCUGCUCGGUUGUCGGCUUCGGAUACUCAAAGAGGGACGGCUUAGCAUGCGACAUAAAUUCAAACUUCGGCACUUCCAGAUUCGAGUUGAGACCGAUGAUGGCCGUUGGCGAGAAGGCCAGGCUGAUGAAGUAUAGGAGAGGAUACCAGUGCCAGAACUGGGUGAAAACAGCGAGGCCAAUCACAGCAGUGAGCUUGUCAUGCUUGUUCCUCGAGCGAAGUUUGAUUGUGACGUUCCUGCCACCGGCAUCUAGAAUGCCGGAAGCAAGGAUGGCGCCCAUUUUGCUCAUGAUGUCCUCGUGCUUGUCAAGAAUGAUCUUCUCCAACUGACGCCUAAAUGUUCCAACAUGAGAAUCAAAGGACUCAUUGGUCUGGAUCAUGACCAUUGCCAUAGCAAUUAGAGCCCCCUGGCGUACAAAGUCAACAACGUCCGAUGUGAGAGGCUCCAACAAAGAAAUGGCAUCACUUAACCCUGUGCCUGCACAGGAUAUCCCAACAGCUAGAGCUGCACCAUAACGAACGUGUGGGUUGUACGAUUCAGAGAGCAGGGACACAAUUCUUGGAGUCUGCAUGAUCAUAACAGAAGAUGUAAGUUGUGGAUCAAAGCUAUUGACAAGGUGUGGAUCAAAGCUAUUGACGAUUUUUUAUUUUAGCAUUUUUUUUCUAUUAGAUGGCAAAGAGAUGCAGCAGCAUAAAUGCAUAAUGAACAGCAGGUCUAUGUUGUUCCUUGGAAUAAAAUUGAAUAGAGGGCAGACCUGCUCAGGUUCGUUGUAUAGAACAAAUCCAAGACCCAUAACUGCAGUCCUACAAACAUCAUCACUGACGUCCGAUACAGCAAAAUGCAGCAGCUGAUGGAUGGCUUUGUUAUUUGCAGUUCCUCUGUACGCUAGAGCCAAUGCGUACAUACCACCGUAACGUAGUAUGGGAUCUUGAUCUCUAGUCAUUUGUUCGAUCAAGGUGUCAGCUUCCUCCUCCCUGCCAUACAUUGUCAAUGCGAUGCCAAGUGCCAAACCCCUGCGGAGAGAGAGAGAGAGAGAGAGAGAGAGAGAGAGAGAGAGAGAGAGAGAGAGAUGUCAGAAACAUGAGCUAGAUGCAUCUUCAGAAAUAUCGCAACAAUUAUUGAACAGCACUGACCUGAUAAUCUUUUCAUGCUGUGUAUCAUGUGCAUAAGCAAGCAUCUCACCGGCCUUCUCACUGGCUGUCCCAACCAUGAGCAAACCCAUGCCAAUACCAGCUGCUUCACCAGCUACUGCACUGUCUGUGUAAAGGACAUUCUUUAUGUCCUCAAACACUUCCUCAUCUGCUGUCCCAAGAGAUGCAAGCCCAAGUCCCAAACAGGCACCAUGCUGGAUGACCUGUAUAAUACGGUUUUGAUUAAGAAAAGUCACAACAUAAUUAGCAUUACGCGAGAAGGACAAGGAACAAAAUGUCACCUCUGCACUUGUGUUGCAAAGGCUUUCACGGAGGAAUUGUUUGAUUCCUUCGCCAUGGUUGGCAUGAAUCAAACCUAAAGCAUAGAGGGCACCACCUUCUGAAUAUGGACUGCCACCACCAACUGCACCAUUUUGAGGUAGGUACGGGGCCAUCAAAGCCCGACCUUGCUGAAGGUGGCCUCUAUGAAUGACACCCAGUCCAGCUGUUGCACUAAAUUUAGCCCAAUUGGUUGCCUUGCUUAACCAUUCCUAAAAGACAAUACCAAAAUGAGACAUUACAGGGGCGAAAAAAUAAACACUGCAUGGCAACAAAACAACCGGAUUUUUUAUUUAUUUUACCAGAUUCUCUCUUAAGAAGGUAUCUACAGUUGUUCCUGCAUGCAUGAUCGCAUUGGAACAAAUAGUUGCACUAUGGCAAACAUUGCCACUCGUUUCCACAGCCUGCUUUAUUGUCUUCAGAAUUAGAAGAUCAGACAUACGAAAGAAAUAAAUCCAUCAAGGUGAUGUCAGAUAUAAAAGUUGCAAGAGACCAAGGUUCAACGUUUAGGACAUAGUAAGUGUACCUGUUGUGGCUAUACAAAAACUGCAGCGUAAGCUGAAUAGACUUCUCCCCUGAUAGUAUCGCUUUAAGUUUUGCAAGCCUAUCAGCAUGCGCUGCCUCAUUUGGAUCCACUGGGUGAGCAUUUCUGUUUGAAGUAGUUGUGCCAUCUCCCAUCUGAACAUCACCCGCUGGUUCUGUGCUAGUUGCACCCGCGUUAACAGUCUGAUCAACCGGUAAAGCUGGCUGACCAGGAGUCUGUGAGUCCAGGCGAUUCCCCACAUUCAGAAGGAAGGCCUGAUUUUCAUUUUCCACUAGAUCAAAAGCAAUUUGGUAUGCAAUGAGAGCAUCAUCCUGCAUAAUGAACACAAUAUCUCAAGUAAGCAACAGAGACCACAAUGUAAGUAGUGUGGUGGGCAGAGUAAAGAACAAACAUAUACCUGGCUUCCAGAAAGUAGUGUGUCCAAUAUAUCCGCAACAGUUUCAGGCUCGCCCAGAACCAUAAGGCACUGGCAGAUGCUCAGAUAAUCUGGAUGCGGCAAAGUCUGGUAUAUUUUAACAAGACAGCGAAGAACCUGGCAAUAAAAUGAAUGAUUAGAUCAACACAUAAAGAAUGUUAUUUUUUGAUUACUCUAAACUAAUACUACUUGCUUUUAACUUAAUAAACCAACCAUACUGCCAAAUAAAUUUUUAACAUAAAAAAAUUAGGAUAUAUAAAAUGCCCCUACCUCAGAACGAUAUUCACGGUGACUAACACAUUGAUGAGAAAGGUUGAUGCAAUAUGAAAGAGCCCCGUGAAUAUUAGCACACCGAGCAAUUGCUCCCUCCAGCUUAUCCAGUCUCCUGCAUUCAACAGCCAUACCCAUGGCCUGUUGGUAUUUCCCGUCAAGAAUACACCUGCAGCAAACAGUAACAUUAGCUGAAUACUCCAUCUGAUAAAUAAGAGGAUAUGUGCAAAUGGUAGGAUAUAUNNNNNNNNNNNNNNNNNNNNNNNNNNNNNNNNNNNNNNNNNNNNNNNNNNNNNNNNNNNNNNNNNNNNNNNNNNNNNNNNNNNNNNNNNNNNNNNNNNNNNNNNNNNNNNNNNNNNNNNNNNNNNNNNNNNNNNNNNNNNNNNNNNNNNNNNNNNNNNNNNNNNNNNNNNNNNAUAUAUAUAUAUAUAUAUAUAUAUAUAUAUAUAUAUAUAUAUAUAUAUAUAUAUAUAAAAUCAUACCUCUUCAACAUCCUCUCCACUAUGGUCUCUAGUCUAGGAUCCACAUUCUCUUCUUCCUCCAUAGCUUUAGAAGCUCUUGUCUUGAAACUCGCAUAUUCAUCUAAUGCUUUGGCUGAAACAAAAGAAACACCAAUUCAACACUAUGAGCAAAAGAAAUUCAUGUGAAAUACUCCCUCCGUCCCAUAAUUAAGAGUUAAGACAACUAGAAUGAUUGAGAAAUAAAGACAAGUCCUCCACCUAAAAGAGCCUGAGCAUAAUCUGAAUCCUCAGAAACAUCAAACAGAGGUCCAGCACCAAGUGCAUACGACAGUGCAUCAUUUAACUCGCCCAAGUAGUAAAACACCUACAUGAUAAUGAUACGCAGCAGUCAUCAUCAAUAUAAGCAAUGCAAAAUACGCCGCUUCUAGAAAAGGUAUAAAAUAACAUGAGAUCCUACCUUAGAGACAACUAGUGCAGCAAGCUGUCUCUGGUCAAAUUCGUCGUCUUCAUACAUGCUCUCGCUGCAGGCAAAAGGAUAUGAUGGAAACAAGUUAUUGAUUUGCUUCCUUGGAAAUUCAGACAAGAAAUUUAUAAUCUGAACUUCGGUAACAAACAAUAGAUUGACUUCAAAACAUGUCAUCCGAAACUAUUGCAACUUUGCAAGUAACAGUUCAAUUGUCAGUCUGUCAAAGAUGUUUCUUAGCACAGGGCAAGCAUUACAACUGAUUAUAAGCAACCGAGCGAAUCAAACUCGUAAAACAACUUGCACCAAACUGAAAGUUGAAAGCUUUCUGAAUUGUCUCCCCUCCUCAGUUGACACCUCACUCCUACAACUGUCAGUUAUAUCUAUCAAAGUGCAAAGAGUUGAAAUUUUUACGAUUGCUACCAAAUACAGUACCAUCGUUUUGUGAAUUCGCUUCGAAGUCGAACUCUGUGUAUCCCUCAGGGAGGGCACAUCCGCGCACUCGGACCGGACGAGGCCAAGCAAACGAAUCGCGGGACGGAAACAUCAUCUAGGGAAACUUGUCUCCUACCGAAUCCUCGUCAGCCGGCCGGCAUCUAGGGCGCCGGCCGAGAGGCGGCGGCGGCAACUAGGUAUCGCGGGAAGGAUAGAUACGAGAGAGGGAGAGGGGCUCACAUGGCGGGGAUGCUGGUGGAGAUCUCCGGGUAGAAGAGGUGGACGACGGAGUUGAGGCUGGCGAGCGCGUGCAGCUUGAGCUCCUCCGCCGGCUCGUGGAGCAUGGCGAGGAUCCCGCCCGCCGAGCUCACCGUCGCCGCCGCCAUGGCCGCGUCGGCGAAGAGGUCGGGGUGCGCGACGGGUCUGUGGUUCGGUUGGGUGCGGGGCGCGUCGUGAGUUGGCUUGCGGACGAGCACGCGAGACGAGGUACGCCGGCGUUGCGGGCGAAUAUAAGGGCAGGACGGCGCGAUGGGUCGGUCGACUAGGAUAGGGAGUCGGGCGACCAGUCCGACGCCAAAUCCUUCUGCGCUCCUUAACGAAACGGGCCGGCCCACUUAGCACUGGUGUAGGAGUGGCCUGGCCGGUUUCUUUUGUGUGUUUUCUGUCCGUUUUCUGCUGCCGUUUGUUCAUUUUUCUAAACUUUUCUGUUUUCUAUUUAUUUUCCUUUUUAUUUUUCUUCAUUUUACUUUUCGUGAACUUUUCUUUUUAAAAUUAGUGAUUUUUUUAGAUUCAGAAAUUUUGACCAAAUUCAUCAACUUUUUCCAAAUUAUCUAAUAUUUUACCAAAAUUUGCAAUUUUUUCUGAAAUUCGUGACUUUUUCAAAUUUUGUUUUUUAAGUAAAAAAAAUUCAAAUUCAUGAACUUUUUUAAAAUUCAUGAACUCUUAUCCAAAUUCAUUAAAUGAUUUAAAUUCUUGCAUAUUUUUCAAAUUCAUGAAGUUUUUCAAUUUUGUUAAGUUUUUUCAAAACCCGUGAACAUUUUUUUUAUUCUAUGCUUUUUGAGAGCACAUGAACUUUCUCGAAAAAGAAAAUGGUCAACAGUCUAAGUCAAAGGUCAACUUAGCGAAAUGUGAACCAGUCAAACCAUCAACCCGCUCAGCCAUUCGCUCACCCGUGCCAUGUGGUGAGCACCAAUUUGUUGGGCCGGCCCACAAUCCCUCUCACGCGAGCAUCGUUUGCUUAACUAGGGCAGCAGGUGCUGACGAGGAGGUAUAUAGUCCUAUUACGUUUGUUGACUUCAUUCGCGAUUAGGUGAAAGAGUCAGUUUUCGUCCGCACCUAGGUGAAGACGACGCUUUCGUCCAAGCAUGGGCCAAAGAUGGGCUCUUUGUUGCGGCUCCGGGCGAAAAUCAUCUCUUCAGUCAAUGUUAGACCGAAGAGGGCUUCUAGGUCCACCUCUUCACGUAAACUGCCAACAAAGUUGCAUGUCGUUCUUAGGGCGGAUGAAAAGUUGCUCUUUGUUUUGUUGUGGACGAAAAGUUUUUUUUCCUAAUUGCUCUCAUCAUUCCCUCUCACGCCCUUUUCCUUCCCGCCCUUUCCCUUCCCGACAUCCCUCCCCCGCCCUUUUUCUUCCCGCCAUCACCUCUCCUGUGCUUUUUCUUCCCGACAUCUCACUCCUCCUCCUUUGUUCCUUUCCACUCGUUCUCUUGCCUCGCUAAUUCUAUUAAACUCCUCCCCUACUUGUUGAUUAUGAAUGCCCCAAACUUGUCCUCCAUCGUCCUCUGAUUAGCCUUCCCUCACCUUCAUCUUCUUCAAAAUUACCAGAAUCUAUAUCACCCGCUAAUCUAUCCUCAUCUUUCUCUUCCAUCACUCUGUGCAUUUCCUUCCCUUUCACAUUCCCAUUAGACGAACCACUACCACCAAUUACUAUUGAUUGACUGCUCAACCCUACUUCAUGACCAAUGAAAAUGUGUAACACAUAAUUUGACUCUACAUCGGGAUGGCUAACAUCCACUGGUUGUGACCCAGGUGGAUCAAUCUCAUUAUAAUUAAACGACUGGCUACCUUGGUCGGGUUCAUACACCCCACCGGGUCAAUGGAGGGCGUAAUUUUGUUUAGUUUGCAUCUUUAUGUGGUCUAGGUGGAGCUCCCAUAUUGCCUAAGUUCUGUACGAGGAAAUAUCUCGAGAGUAAAAAUUAACAUGACUUUCAUUUUAAAAUAUUAUUUAAGCCUACCAUUCAAGACCAUGCUUAGGUGCAUUUAUCUAUACCAAUAUAAAAAGACCCAAAUGGACAGAUCCAAACCAUCUCGACCGUCAAAUCAUUUUAUCUAGCGGUUCAAAUCGCUCCAAUAUUGAGCACCAAAUGCGUUUAACACUCUAAUUACCCACCACUGCCAUUGGUUAUAAAAACGUUGUCCCUCAAAAUCUGCCAUGUAAUUAAUAUUUUACCAUUCCUGCGAAAAAGUAAUUGAUAUCUUACCAAAUACCAACAUGCAACAGAUAUAUUUUACCUAAUAUAACGUGCAACUAAUAUCCUACCUAAUAUAAACGUGCAUUGCACAUACAUUAUUACUAGUUUAGUUAUAACAUAGUAAAAAUGUUCAGCUCGGUGCGGGUGUGUGGCGUCGCGAGUUCGGUUGCGGACGAUGAGCACGCGAGACGAUGUACGCCGGUGUGUGAAGGUACGGGCGAAUACAAAGGACGGCGCGAUGGUCGACUAGGAUAGGGAGUCAGACUAGUCCGACGCCAAAUCGUGCUCGGUGCGCAGACACCCCCGACCGAUACAGGUCAGCCCACUUCAUAUUGUACCGGUAUGCGGUUUCUAGUUGUUUUUUUUUGGCCGGUUCUUUUUUGUUUUUUCCUGUCUCUUUUUUGCUGGUUUUGUUAUUUUUUUCUUUCAAGUUUUGUCUUCAUUUUUCCUUCAUUAUUCAUUUUUAUUUUCAUGAAAAUUUCUUUUCCAAAUUCAUGAUUUAUUUUAAAUUCACAAAUUUUGUCCAAAUUUGUGAAAAAACAAAUAUCUUUUCCAAAUUCGAAUGUUUCCAAAUUCAUGAAUAUUUUCCCAAAUUCACAAAAAAAAUCAAAUUCAUGAAUUUUUUCAAAUUUCAAAGUUUUUCCAAAUUCACAGUCUUCCCUAAAUUUCUUAAACUUUUCAAAUUUGUUAACUUUUUAAAAACCCAUGAAUAUUUUUUUCAAAUGCUGCAAUUUUUAAAAUCACAUGAACUUUUCAAAAAAAAGUCAAUGGUCAAGGGUCUAAGUCAAUGGCCAAUCUGCCAAAAGGUGGACCAGUCAAACCAUCAACCCGCUCAGCCACUCGCUCACCCGUGCGUGUGGUGACCAUAGGUUUGUUUGGCCAACCCACAACGCUCUCUUGCGCGAGCACCGUUUGCUUAAUUGGCGCACAAGCGCUACGAAGGAGGUCUCUAGCUUGAAUGUGUUUGUCAACUUCGUUCGCGGCCAGGCAGAAGAGCCAGUUUUCGUCCGCACCUUGGUCAAAGAGAACGUUUUCGUCCACAUAUGGACCAAAGACGGGCUCUUCGUUGCGGCUCCGGACGAAAAUCAUCUCUUCAGUCAUUGUUAGAUUGAAGAGGGCUUCUAGGCCCAUCUCUUCGUGUAAACUGCCCAACGAAGUUGCAUGCCAUUCUUAGGGCGAACAAGAGUUGCUCUUCCUUUCUGUUGAGGAAGAAGUCUUUUUUUCGAUUGCCCUUCAUCAUUCCCUCUCACGUCCUUUUCCUUCCCACCAUCCAUCUCCUGCUCUUUCCCUUCUCGUCAUCCCUCUUCUGCCCAUUCCCUUCCAGCCGUCACCUCUCACACGCUUUUUCUUCCUGACAUCUCACUCGUCCUCCCAUGUUCCUUCCCACCCUCUUGCCUUCACAUAACGAAUUUCAUAGUUAUAUCUUGCUUUCACCGCAUUUUGGUGUGUUUCGCUUCCAUGUCUUUCUUCUCCACUAUCUCAUUUAUAGAUGAGUUGUGUUAUGAGAGUUGAAUUCAGGUUUGGAUGAUCAACUAGAAUGUUUUCCUCACAUAAUUAUAUGGAACAAUAUUAGUGACAACCCAGUGCACGUUUCACUUGGGCCUGUGGUCGUGCACCUUGUCGAGAACCAUUUUAAGCACAUUUCAAAGUUAUAAGUUUGUUUGACUUGAUAUGUGUGUGUGUGUGUGUGUGUGAAAACCCUAUGCACCGACAUAGCCCACUCCACUAUGUCACUUCAUUCUUCAGUUGUUUCUUUAUGGCAUAAAUAGCGCCUAUUUGGACUUAGUUCUAAUGAUAUACCCAUACAAACUCAUGGACUUCCAUCGAUUCAUGGUCAGGCCGGCUGCAGUUGAGAGGCCCUGAUUCCAUGCAUAAGGAAUUGACACCUCCUCCUCGUCCUCAUCCUUACUUUUUUUAGAACAAAGACGCCAGGAGCGUCCGGCUUUAACUGAAUAAAGCCCACAACAGACAGCGUACACGUGAAUAAAGUCUUUGUAAGUGCAUCUAGUGCCACCCCUAGUUGGUUUUGGAGUAUUGACGACAAACCUAGUUGAGGGACUAAUGUGUUUGUGAGAAUUGCAGGAUAACACAGGUAGAAGUCCCUCAUUGAUUCGGUUUUCCUAUCAGGGAUGACCCCUAAAAAUGUAUGAAGACAUUGAUGUCAAAGGUGGUAUAUGAAGAUAUUCACAUUGAAGACUAUGACAAGAGAAGACAUCGCAUGAAGCCUAUGGAGCUUGAAGACUUAGAUCUUUCGUAGUUCUUUUUCUUCUUCUUUGUUGAGUCAUAGGAACCACCGUACUGUUAAGUGGGGUCCAAGAGAACCAGUCAGAAUGACUGAAGUGAUGCUUAACCAAAACCUAUGUCUUCGAGUGAAGACUAUGAGAGCGAAUCUUGUCCAAAGUCGGACAAGUCAGCUUUGCUUGUAGCCCAAGUAAAGUUGCCGUGUGAGUUUGAAAUCUAACCGUUGGAACACAUAUCAGUUCCUUAGUGACCCAGGGUCAUUUCGGACAAAUCAGGUCGGGUUGCCUAGUGGCUAUAAAUAGCCCACCCCCUACAACCAUAAAUGGUUGGCUGCUCAGAGUUAGUAUACGGCUUUUGUCGUUUGAGAGCAACCCACGUCGAAGCCUUUGAGAGAGAAUUCCUUGCGAGGAUAAAGCCCUAACCACCCAGAGCCAAAGAGAAUUAGGCAUCACUUAAGUCUUCUUGUCUGUAUGAUCUGAAGACUUAUUACACUUGAGGACUGUGAAUCCUCCAGCCGGUUAGGCGUCGCGUUCUGAGCAUCCAAGAGACAUUGUGGAUCGCCGGUGAACGAAGUCUGUGAAGGUUUGGGAGUCUACCUUGAAGACUUACCAAAGUGAUUGGGCGAGGUCUGUGUGACCUUAUCUCAAGGGGAAUACGGUGAGGACUGGGUGUCCUGAGCUGCGUGUUCAGGACUGGGUGUCCGGGACUGUGUGUCCUCAGGUUUAAAUACCUAGCCGCCCUAACCAGACGUACAUUUGUCACAGCAACUGGAACUGGUCCAACAAAUCAUUGUCUUCAAUGUGUCACUGGUUUCAUCCUUUCCUUCCCUUUACUUACUGUUGGUCCUUGUGAAGUCAUUGUAUGAUUGCACUAUCUUUUAUCUUCACUGAGUGACUGCGUGUUCUGUUUGGCUUCAUAAUAUCUUCCUACCUGAUCCUUACUACAUUGCUGCUAUUAGUCAUUAUGCUUUCACUCCAUUGAAUACUUGACUAUGGUUUGCCUAGUGUAGUCUACCUUCCGCUGCAUGGUAAUAGGUUUAUUUCUAUCGUUUGUCUUCAUAACUUCUACGUUUUGAAGACUUUCAUAAAAAUCGCCUAUUCACCCCCCCUCUAGUCGAUAUAAUGCACUUUCAAUUGGUAUCAGAGCAAGGUACUCCCUUGUUCUGUGUGAUUCGGUUUAACCACCUGGAGUUUUAGCUAUGUCGACUACAGGGAUAAUCAAAGUCUCCACUGCAUGCCCCAUCUUUGAUGGAACUGAAUAUCCCUACUGGAAGAAUAAGAUGCGCAUGCAUCUUGAAGCCAUUGACGUCGACCUAUGGUAUGUCGUCAAGAAUGGCGUUCCCAAGGCUGGAGAAGGUGUCACUGCUGUUGACGUCAAGAAGUUCAUUCAACUGGACUCUACAGCCAAGAAUAUCAUCUGUGGCCAUCUGACCAAAGGACAGUAUGGCCGCGUGAGUGCUUUGGAAACAUCUAAGGUAGUCUGGGACUGGCUCUCCAAGGUCAACGAAGUCUCAACCCAGAGAGAUCAGAGAAUCAGUAUCCUUCACAACCUCUUCAACCGCUUCAAGAGAAAUGACAAUGAGAAUGUCCAGCUCACAUUUGAUCGACUCACUGACAUCACGAAUGAGCUUCAAGCCCUUGGCGCUACUGAGAUCACCAAGCAUGAAGUCAUCAAGACACUACUGAGAUCACUUGACAGUUCGUUUGACACCCUAGCCCUGAUGAUUCAAGAACGUCCUGAUUUCAAGACACUCGAUCCGUCUGACAUACUUGAGAGGCUCAACACACAUGAGUUUCAGCUUUCUGAGAAAAGAGAUAUCUACGGUCCUAACUAUGGGCGAACUCGUGCCUUGAAGGCAAAAGCUGUCUCCUCAUCUGAAGAAGAAUCUGACAGCAGUUCUGAUGAUCCUGAAGACAUUGGAAGGAAACUUGCUGUGCUUGUGAAGAAGUUCCAAAAAUUCACGAAGAAGAAAGGUUUCAGAAAGUCUUCACGAUCAAGCUCAAGGAACGAUGAAGCUUCUGCUCAUGACUACAAGAAGAAAACAUGUCACAAGUGCAAGAAACCUGGCCACUUCAUCUCUGAGUGUCCUCAGUGGGACAAUGAGAACAAGAAGAAGAAGAAGAGCAAGGAAUAUGACUCUGACGACAAGAAGAAGAAGAAAUACUCAAAGUCUUCUUCCAAGUCUUCUUCAAAGUCUUCAUCACACAAGAAGAGCUCAUCUGGCAAGGCACGUGUGUUUGUUGGCAAGGAAAUGGAUUCAGAGGAGGAGUCCGCUUCUGAGGAGGCGGAGGUGGAGUCUGAGGAGUCUGAUUCUGGCGUCGCAAGUCUGGCUACAACAUACGUUGCCAAGUCCAUCUUCAACACUGAAGACAAUGACCUCAUCACAGACACCAAUGCAAAUGACAAGGACUACUCCGCUCCUACCUAUUGCUUCAUGGCACGCGGUGCCAAGGUAAACACACGCACUACUCACUAUCAAACAUCCAGUGACGAUGACUCUGAUUGUGGUUCAAAACCCAGCUACAAAACACUUGCUAAAAUUGCAACUGAACAACAUUAAGCCAUGGAACAUAUUCAAAAACUGUUAGACAAAAGCGAUGAUCUGCAGGCGCUGAAAUGACUCGAUCUGAGUCCUUAAGUGAAGACAUAAAAAAUCUUCACGUUAAGUAUGAGGAACUUGAAAGUCGUCAUGAAAUGCUCUCAACAACUCAUGAAAAGCUUUCCUAUGAUUAUCUUCAAAGAAAGCAAGAUCUUGAGAAAUUGAGAGCGGCUCAUGAAGAUCUUCAAAAGGAAAAUGAGUCACUUCGCGCCGAACAGAUCAGCUCCGCUCAGGAAGGAUUUGAACCACCAUGUCUUAAGUGCAUUGAGCGUGAUAAUGCUACUACUGUUGCUGAAUGUUCUACUGCUGCUACUGUUGCAAUAUCUUCAACUGUUGAUGUGGGAACUAACCCCUCUGCUGAGGAUUCCAUUGCUAUUGCUGAUGAGAAUGCUAGGUUGAAGACAUUGCUUGAAACAGGGAUGUACAAAAGUCUUAAAGGGCAUCCGACACUAUGUGAUGUCCUCAAAAAGCAGAUCUUGAACCGAAACCCGAGGAAAGAGGGUGUUGGGUUUGUAAGGAAAAUGAAUGCUGAUGGCUCUUACUGGAAACCUGAGCAGUACCCCAAAACCACAUGGGUUGCUGCAAAGGAAUCUUCAGCAGAUCUAUCCAAUCUAUCUGGCUUCUCUUGUGCAAACCCCAUUGUCAUUGAUGAAUCCUUUGAUGCAAACUAUAAAAUGUUUAAGAAUCAGAAUGGAGAAGUGUUUGCCAGGUACAUUGGUACUAACUGCAAGAAUGGACCGCCUAUGAAGAAGAUCUGGGUCCCGAAAAAGUGUCUGGAGAAUCUUCCUGUGAAUGUCAUCAUGACACCACACGUGAAGAAGACAAACCUCAGACCACAGGCUUCAUACGGUCCAAAGGCAUCAUACAGAUAGAGGACUCACCUGAGUCGCACUAACGCAAAUGUUUUGCAGGGAAACCAUACUCGGGCCUAUGAAUAUGAGCGUGGUUCAUCAAACCGCCAUGUUCAUAAGACCAAGAACUAUUCUUCUUAUUCUUAUGAGUACUAUUGUCCGCCUGCAAGACUUUUUGCUAGGGCUCCAAAGCCAAAGUUCUCAGACGCUGCACUUAGACUUAUUGCUUCUAAGCCACCCUUGAAGAUGUGGGUGGCUAAGAAAGCUUAACUCUCUUUUGCAGGGAAAGGUCUCCAGCAGAAAACCAAAAUCGUCUGACGCUAUUGCUGGGGACCUUAAACAUCUUGUAGGGCGCAAGAUCAAAUGCCCGAAUGGUCUUACUAUUGGGGAACAUAGUAAUUUCAAAAAAAUCCUAUGCACACGCAAGAUCAUGGUGAUGCAUAGCAACGAGAGGGGAGAGUGUUGUCUACGUACCCUUGUAGACCGAAGCGGAAGCGUUGACGCAACGUAGAGGAAGUAGUCGUACGUCUUCCCGAUCCAACCGAUCCAAGCACCGUUACUCCGGCACCUCCGAGUUCUUGGCACACGUUCAGCUCGAUAACGCUCCCCGGGCUCCGAUCCAGCAAAGCUUCGGGGAGGAGUUCCGUCAGCACGACGGCGUGGUGAUGAUCUUGAUGUUCAACCAUCGCAGGGCUUCGCCUAAGCACCGCUACAAUAUGACCGAGGUGGAAUAUGACGGAGGGGGGCACCGCACACGGCUAAGGAACGAUCACGAAGAUCAAGUUAUGUGUUCUAGGGUGCCCCCCUGCCCCCGUAUAUAAAGGAGCCAAGGGAAGGGGGCGGCCGGCCAAGGAGGGCGCGCCAAGGGGGAGUCCUACUCCCACCGGGAGUAGGACUCCCUUCUUUCCUAGUUGGAGAAGGAGAAGUGGGAAAGAGGAGGAAGAGGGAAAGGAAAGGGGGGGCGCCGCCCCCCUCUCCUUGUCCUAUUCGGACUAGGGAGGGGAGGGGCGCGCGGCCACCUCUUGUCUCCUUUCCUCUUCUCCCUUAGGGCCCAUGUAGGCCUAAUAACCCCCGGGGGGGUUCAGGUAACCCCCCGGUACUCCGGUAAAAUCCCGAUUUCACCCGGAACGAUUCUGAUAUCCAAAUAUAGGCUUCCAAUAUAUCGAUCUUUAUGUAUCGACCAUUUUGAGACUCCUCGUCAUGUCCAUGAUCACAUCCGGGACUCCGAACAACCUUCAGUACAUCAAAAUACAUAAACUCAUAAUGAAACUGUCAUCGUAACAUUAAGCGUGCGGACCCUACGGUUCGAGAACAAUGUAGACAUGACCGAGACACGUCUCCGAUCAAUAACCAAUAGCGGAACCUGGAUGCUCAUAUUGGUUCCUACAUAUUCUACGAAGAUCUUUAUCGGUCAGACCGCAUAACAACAUACGGUGUUCCCUUUGUCAUCGGUAUGUUACUUGCCCGAGAUUCGAUCGUCGGUAUCUUAAUACCUAGUUCAAUCUCGUUACCGGCAAGUCUCUUUACUCGUUUCGUAAUACAUCAUCUCGCAACUAACUCAUUAGUUGCAAUGCUUGCAAGGCUUAUGUGAUGUGCAUUGCCGAGAGGGCCUAGAGAUACCUCUCCGACAAUCGGAGUGACAAAUCCUAAUCUCGAAAUACGCCAACCCAACAUGUAACUUUGGAGACACCUGUAGAGCUCCUUUAUAAUCACCCAGUUAUGUUAUGAUGUUUGGUAGCACACAAAGUGUUCCUCCGGCAAACGGGAGUUGCAUAAUCUCAUAGUCAUAGGAACAUGUAUAAGUCAUGAAGAAAGCAAUAGCAACAUACUAAACGAUCGGGUGCUAAGCUAAUGGAAUGGGUCAUGUCAAUCACAUCAUUCUCCUAAUGAUGUGAUCCCGUUAAUCAAAUGACAACACAUGUCUAUGGUUAGGAAACAUAACCAUCUUCGAUUAACGAGCUAGUCAAGUAGAGGCAUACUAGUGACACUUUGUUUGUCUAUGUAUUCACACAUGUAUUAUGUUUCUGGUUAAUACAAUUCUAGCAUGAAUAAUAAACAUUUAUCAUGAAAUAAGGAAAUAAAUAAUAACUUUAUUAUUGCCUCUAGGGCAUAUUUCCUUCAGUCUCCCACUUGCACUAGAGUCAAUAAUCUAGUUCACAUUGCUAUGUGAUUUAACACCAAUAGUUCACAUCAUCAUGUGAUUAACACUCAAAAGGGUUUACUAGAGUCAAUAAUUUAGUUCACAUCACUAUGUGAUUAACACCCAAAGAGUACUAAGGUGUGAUCAUGUGUUUGCUUGUGAGAGAAGUUUAGUCAACGGGUCUGCCACAUUCAGAUCCGUAUGUAUUUUGCAAAUUUCUAUGUCAACAAUGCUCUGCACGGAGCUACUCUGGCUAAUUGCUCCCACUUUCAAUAUGUAUCCAGAUUAAGACUUAGAGUCAUCUGGAUCAGUGUCAAAACUUGCAUCGACGUAACCCUUUACGACGAACCUUUUUUUUAUGUCCAUAAUCGAGAAACAUAUCCUUAUCCCACUAAGGAUAAUUUUGACCAAUGUCCAGUGAUCUACUCCUAGAUCACUAUUGUACUCCCUUGUCAAACUUAGGGCAGGGUAUACAAUAGGUCUGGUACACAGCAUGGCAUACUUUAUAGAACCUAUGGCUGAGGCAUAGGGAAUGACUUUCAUUCUCUCUCUAUCUUCUGUCGUGGUCGGAUUUUGAGUCUUACUCAGCUUCACACCUUGCAACACAGGCAAGAACUCCUUCUUUGACUGUUCCAUUUUGAACUACUUCAAAAUCUUGUCAAGGUAUGUACUCAUUGAAAAAACUUAUCAAGCGUCUUGAUCUAUCUCUAUAGAUCUUGAUGCUCAAUAUGUAAGCAGCUUCACCGAGGUCUUUCUUUGAAAAAACUCUUUUCAAACAUUCCUUUAUGCUUUGCAGAAUAAUUCUACAUCAUCUCCGAUCAACAAUAUGUCAUACAUAUACUUAUCAGAAAUGAUGUAGUGCUCCCACUCACUUUCUUAUAAAUACAGGCUUCACCGCAAGUCUGUAUAAAACUGUAUGCUUUGAUCAACUUAUCAAAGCGUAUAUUCCAACUCCGAGAUGCUUGCACCAGUCCAUAGAUGGAUCGCUGGAGCUUGUAUAUUUAGUUAACACCUUUAGGAUCGACAAAACCUUCUAGUUGCAUCGUAUACAACUCUUCUUUAAUAAAUCCAUUAAGGAAUGAAGUUUUGUUUAUCCAUUUGCCAGAUUUCAUAAAAUGCGGCAAUUGCUAACAUGAUUCGGACAGACUUAAGCAUAGAUACGAGUGAGAAACUCUCAUCAUAGUCAACACCUUGAACUUGUCGAAAACCUUUUUCGACAAUUCUAGCUUUGUAGAUAGUAACACUACUACCAGCGUUCGUCUUCCUCUGAAGAUCCAUUUAUUUUCUAUGGCUUGCCGAUCAACGGGCAAAUCCAUCAAAGUCCAUACUUUGUUCUCAUACAUGGAUCAUAUCUCAGAUUUCAUGGUCUCAAACCAUUUCGCGGAAUCUGGGGUCAUCAUCGCUUCCUCAUAGUUCGUAGGUUCGUCAUGGUCUAGUAACAUGACUUCCAGAAUAGGAUUACCGUACCACUCUUGUGCGGAUCUCACUCUGGUUUACCUACGAGAUUCGGUAGUAACUUGAUCUGAAGUUACAUGAUUAUCAUCAUUACCUUCCUCACUAAUUGGUGUAGUAGUCACAAGAACAGAUUUCUGUGAUGAACUACUUUCCAAUAAGGGAGAAGGUACAAUUACCUUAUCAAGUUUUCUACUUUCCUCCCACUCACUUCUUUCGUGAGAAACUCCUUCUCUAGAAAGGAUCCAUUCUCAGCAAUGAAUAACUUGCCUUCGGAUCUGUGAUAGAAGGUGUACCCAACAUUUUCUUUUGGGUAACCUACGAAGAUUUACUUCUCCGAUUUGGGUUCGAGCUUAUCAUGUUGAAACUUUUUCACAUAAGCAUCGCAGUCCCAAACUUUAAGAAACGACAGCUUAGGUUUCUUGCCAAACCAUAGUUCAUACGGCGUCGUCUCAACGGAUUUAGAUGGUGCCCUAUUUAACGUGAAUGUAGCUAUCUCUAAUGCAUAACCCCAAAACGAUAGCGGUAAAUCAAUAAGAGACGUCAUAGAUCGCACCAUAUCUAAUAAAGUACGGUUACGACGUUCAGACACACCAUUACACUGUGGUGUUCCAGGUGGCGUGAGUAGUGAAACUAGUUCACAUUGUUUUAACUGAAGGCCAAACUCAUAACUCAAAUAUUUUCCUUCUGCGAUCAUAUCAUAGAAACUUUUAUUUUUGUUACGAUGAUUCUCCACUUCACUCUGAAAUUCUUCGAACUUUUCAAAUGUUUCAGACUUGUGUUUCAUCAAGUAGAUAUACUCAUAUCUGCUCAAAUCAUCUGUGAAGGUCAGAAAAUAAUGAUACCUACCACGAGCCUCAAUAUUCAUCGGACCACAUACAUCAGUAUGUAUGAUUUCCAACAAAUCUGUUGCUCGCUCCAUUGUUCCGAAGAACGGAGUCUUAGUCAUCUUGCCCAUGAGGCAUGGUUCGCAAGUAUCAACUGAUUCAUAAUCAAGUGAUUCCAAAAACCCAUCAGCAUGUAUUUUCUUCAUGCGCUUUACACCAAUAUGACCUAAACGGCAGUGCCACAAAUAAGUUGCACUAUCAUUAUUAACUUUGUAUCUUUUGGUUUCAAUAUUAUGAAUAUGUGUAUCACUACAAUCGAGAUCCAACAAACUAUUUUCAUUGGGUGUGUAACCAUAUAAGGUUUUAUUCAUGUAAACAGAACAACAAUUUAUUCUCUUACUUAAAUGAAUAACCAUAUUACCAUAAACAUGAUCAAAUCAUAUUCAUGCUGAACGCAAACACUAAAUAACACUUAUUCAGGUUCAACACUAAUCCCGAAAGUAUAGGGAGUGUGCGAUGAUGAUCAUAUCAAUCUUGGAACCACUUCCAACACACAUCUUCACUUCACCCUUAACUAGUCUCUGUUUAUUCUGCAACUCCCGUUUCGAGUUACUAAUCUUAGCAACUGAACUAGUAUCAAAUACUGAGGGGUUGCUAUAAACACUAGUAAAGCACACAUCAAUAACAUGUAUAUCAAAUAUACCUUUGCUCACUUUGCCAUCCUUCUUAUCCGCCAAUCACUUGGGGUAGUUCCGCUUCCAGUGACCAGUCCCUUUGCAGUAGAAGCACUUAGUCUCAGGCUUAGGACCAGACUUGGGCUUCUUCACUUGAGCAGCAACUUGCUUGACGUUCUUCUUGAAGUUCCCCUUCUUCCCUUUGCCCUUUUUCUUGAAACUAGUGGUUUCGUCAACCAUCAACACUUGAUGUUUUUCUUGAUUUCUACCUUCGUCGAUUUCAGCAUCACGAAAAGCUUGGGAAUCAUUUCUGUUAUCCCUUGCAUAUUAUAGUUCAUCACGAAGUUCUACUAACUUGGUGAUGGUGACUAGAGAAUUCUGUCAAUCACUAUCUUAUCUGGAAGAUUAACUCCUACUUGAUUCAAGCGAUUGUAGUACCCAGACAAUCUGAGCACAUGCUCACUAGUUGAGCGAUUCUUCUCCAUAUUUUAGCUAUAGAACUUGUUGGAGACUUCAUAUCUCUCAACUCGGGUAUUUGCUUGAAAUAUUAACUUCAACUCCUGGAACAUCUCAUAUGGUCCAUGACGUUUAAAACGUCUUUGAAGUCCCGAUUCUAAGCCGUUAAGCAUGGUGCACUAAACUGUCAAGUAGUCAUCAUAUUUAGCUAGCCAAACAUUCAUAACAUCUGCAUCUGCUCCUGCAAUAGGUCUGUCACCUAGCGGUGCAUCAAGGACAUAAUUCUUCUGUGCAGCAAUGAGGAUAAACCUCAGAUCACGGAUCCAAUCCGCAUCAUUGCUACUAACAUCUUUCAACACAAUUUUCUCUAGGAACAUAUCAAAAAUAAAGGGAAGCAACAACGCGAGCUAUUGAUCUACAACAUAGAUAUGCUAAUACUACCAGGACUAAGUUCAUGAUAAAUUUAAGUUCAAUUAAUCAUAUUACUUAAGAACUCCCACUUAGAUAUACAUCCCUCUAAUCAUCUAAGUGAUCACGUGAUCCAAAUCAACUAAACCAUAACCGAUCAUCACGUGAAAUGGAGUAGUUUUCAAUGGUGAACAUCGCUAUGUUGAUCAUAUCUACUAUAUGAUUCAUGCUCGACCUUUUGGUCUUAGUGUGCCGAGGCCAUAUCUGCAUAUGCUAGGCUCGUCAAGUUUAACCUGAAUAUUCUGCAUGUGCAAAACUGGCUUGCAUCCGUUGUAGAUGGACGUAGAGCUUAUCACACCCGAUCAUCACGUGGUGUCUGGGCACGACAAACUUUGGCAACGGUGCAUACUCAGGGAGAACACUUUUUAUCUUGAAAUUUAGUGAGAGAUCAUCUUAUAAUGCUACCGGCAAUCAAAGCAAGAUAAGAUGCAUAAAAGAUAAACAUCACAUGCAAUCAAUAUAAGUGAUAUGAUAUGGCCAUCAUCAUCUUGUGCUUGUGAUCUCCAUCUCCGAAGCACCGUCAUGAUCACCAUCGUCACCGACGCGACACCUUGAUCUCCAUCGUAGCAUCGUUGUCGUCUCGCCAAUCUUAUGCUUCUACGACUAUCGCUACCGCUUAGUGAUAAAGUAAAGCGUUGCAGGGCGAUUGCAUUGCAUACAAUAAAGCGACAACCAUAUGGCUCCUGCCAGUUGCCGAUAACUUGGUUACAAAACAUGAUCAUCUCAUACAACAAAAUUUAGCAUCAUGCCUUGACCAUAUCACAUCACAACAUGCCCUGCAAAAACAAGUUAGACGUCCUCUACUUUGUUUGUUGCAAGUUUUACGUGGCUGCUACGGGCUUAAGCAAGAACCAAUCUUACCUACGCAUCAAAACCACAACGAUAGUUUGUCAAGUUGGUGCUGUUUUAACCUUCGCAAGGACCGAGCGUAGCCACACUCGGUUCAACUAAAGUUGGAGAAACUGACACCCGCCAGCCACCUGUGUGCAAAGCACGGUGGUAGAACCAGUCUCGCGUAAGCGUACGCGUAAUGUCGGUCCAGGCCGCUUCAUCCAACAAUACCGCCGAACCAAAAUAUGACAUGCUGGUAAGCAGUAUGACUUAUAUCGCCCACAACUCACUUGUGUUCUACUCGUGCAUAUAACAUCAAACCAUAAAACUUGGCUCUGAUACCACUUUUGGGGAAUGUAGUAAUUUUAAAAAAUUUCCUACGCACACGCAAGAUCAUGGUGAUGCAUAGCAACGAGAGGGGAGAGUGUUGUCUACGUACCCUUGUAGACCGAAGCGAAAGCGUUGACGCAACGUAGAGGAAGUAGUCGUACGUCUUCCCGAUCCAAUCGAUCCAAGCACCGUUACUCCAGCACCUCCGAGUUCUUGGCACACGUUCAGCUCGAUGACACUCCACGGGCUCCGAUCCAUCAAAGCUUCGGGGAGGAGUUCCGUCAGCACGACGGCGUGGUGACGAUCUUGAUAUUCAACCGUUGCAGGGCUUCGCCUAAGCACCGCUACAAUAUGACCGAGGUGGAAUAUGGUGGAGGGGGGCACCGCACACGGCUAAGGAACGAUCACAAAGAUCAACUUGUGUGUUCUAGGGUGCCCCCCUGCCCCUGUAUAUAAAGGAGCCAAGGGAAGGGGGCAGCCGGCCAAGGAGGGCGCGUCAAGGGGGAGUCCUACUCCCACCGGGAGUAGGACUCCCUUCUUUCCUAGUUGGAGAAGGAGAAGUGGGAAAGAGGAGGAAGAGGGAAAGGAAAGGGGGGGGGGCGCCGCCCCCCUCUCCUUGUCCUAUUCGGACUAGGGAGGGGAGGGGCGCGCGGCCACCUCUUGUCUCCUUUCCUCUUCUCCCUUAGGGCCCAUGUAGGCCCAAUAACCCCCGGGGGGGUUCCAGUAACCCCCCGGUAGUCCGGUAAAAUCCCGAUUUCACCCGGAAUGAUUCCGAUAUCCAAAUAUAGGCUUCCAAUAUAUCGAUCUUUAUGUCUCGACCAUUUCGAGACUCCUCGUCAUGUCCAUGAUCACAUCCGGGACUCCGAACAACCUUCGGUACAUCAAAAUACAUAAACUCAUAAUGAAACUGUCAUCGUAACAUUAAGCGUGCGGACCCUACGGUUCGAGAACAAUGUAGACAUGACCGAGACACGUCUCCGGUCAAUAACCAAUAGCGGAACCUGGAUGCUCAUAUUGGUUCCUACAUAUUCUACGAAGAUCUUUAUCGGUCAGACCGCAUAACAACAUACGUUGUUCUCUUUGUCAUCGGUAUGUUACUUGCCCGAGAUUCGAUCGUCGGUAUCUUAAUACCUAGUUCAAUCUCGUUACCGGCAAGUCUCUUUACUCGUUUCGUAAUACAUCAUCUCGCAACUAACUCAUUAGUUGCAAUGCUUGCAAGGCUUAUGUGAUGUGCAUUACCGAGAGGGCCCAGAGAUACCUCUCCGACAAUCGGAGUGACAAAUCCUAAUCUCGAAAUACGCCAACCCAACAUGUACCUUUGGAGACACCUGUAGAGCUCCUUUAUAAUCACCCAGUUACGUUAUGACGUUUGGUAGCACACAAAGUGUUCCUCCGGCAAACGGGAGUUGCAUAAUCUCAUAGUCAUAGGAACAUGUAUAAGUCAUGAAGAAAGCAAUAGCAACAUACUAAACGAUCGGGUGCUAAGCUAAUGGAAUGGGUCAUGUCAAUCACAUCAUUCUCCUAAUGAUGUGAUCCCGUUAAUCAAAUGACAACAGAUGUCUAUGGUUAGGAAACAUAACCAUCUUCGAUUAACGAGCUAGUCAAGUAGAGGCAUACUAGUGACACUUUGUUUGUCUAUGUGUUCACACAUGUAUUAUGUUUCCGGUUAAUACAAUUCUAGCAUGAAUAAUAAACAUUUAUCAUGAAAUAAGGAAAUAAAUAAUAACUUUAUUAUUGCCUCUAGGGCAUAUUUCCUUCACUUACUAUGUACUUCGUUCCUGAAUCGCUUGCUACUCUCCCUAUCAGUCCUAAUCUGGAUCUAAGCUUUCAUAACCCACUGGUUCGUCAAAUGUUUUUGCUUCACAAUUCUCUUCGUGAAGCCUAUCCCCCUAACUGCACUGUAGGGUACGACACCAGCAUCUUCAGAAUGGAUUAUUGAUAGUGGGUGUACCAACCACAUGACUGGAAAAGAAGCCUUCUUAUGGACUCAACCUUACGUCCAUCCGACAAGAGUCACAUCACAUUUGCUGACACUGGUAAAAGUAAGGUAUUGGGUCUAGGUAGAGUUGCAAUCUCAAAGGAUCAACACAUGCAUAAAGUCAUGCUUGUUGAAUCCCUUGGCUUCAACUUAAUGUCUGUCUCAAUGCUUUGCAAUUUGAACAUGAUCGUAAUAUUUGGAAAAUAUCGCUGCCUUGUACUAAUGGAAUCUGACAAGUCUCUAGUGUUUGAAGGGUAUCGGAAAGAUGAUUUGUACGUGGUAGAUUUUUCGGCAGGACCACAGCUUGCCGUAUGUCUUCUAGCAAAGGCUUCAGAAUGCUGGCUCUGGCAUCGGAGGCUAGGGCAUGCUGGCAUGAGGAACCUCCACACCCUUGCAAAGAAGAAGCAUGUCAUAGGCAUCGAGGGCGUCAAGUUCAAGAAAGAUCACUUAUGCGGUGCCUGUGAAGCAGGAAAGAUGACGAGGGCCAAACAUCCCUCGAAGACAAUCAUGACAACCACUCGACCCUUCGAACUGCUCCACAUGGAUCUUUUCGGUCCCACUCAUUACUCAACUCUUACUACUACUGCUUGCCUCUAUGGCUUUGUUAUUGUUGAUGAUUAUUCUAGAUAUACUUGGGUGCACAUAAUCCUCUACAAGACUGAAGUGCAGGAUGUCUUCAGACGCUUCGCCAAUCGAGCAAUGAACAACUAUGGCGCCAAGAUAAAGCACAUCAGAAGUGACAAUGGCACUGAAUUCAAGAACACUGGCCUUGAUACAUAUCUUGAUACCUUGGGCAUCACACAUGAAUUCUCAGCCCCGUACACACCACAGCAGAAUGGCAUCGUCGAACGCAAGAACAGAACACUCAUUGAGAUGGCCCGAACGAUGCUUGAUGAAUACAAGACUCCAAGAAAAUUCUGGCCUGAAGCCAUUGAUACUGCAUGCCAUACAAUCAAUCAUGUUUAUCUUCACAAGCUUCUGAACAAGACAUCUUAUGAGCUCCUUACUGGCAAGAAGCCAAAUGUCAGUUACUUCAGAGUAUUUGGCGCCAGGUGCUGGAUCAAGGAUCCACAUCACAUUUCAAAAUUUGCACCAAAAGCACAUGAGGGUUUUAUGCUUGGAUAUGGAAAGGAUUCGCACUCCUACAGAGUCUUCAAUCUCUUUCAUUAUAAAGUGGUUGAAACAGUGGAUGUGCGGUUUGAUGAGACUAACGGUUCACAAAGAGAGCACCUCCCAAAUAUGCUAGAUGAAGUUCCAUCCAACGAAUCAAUCAAGCUUAUGGGAACCGGAGAAAUCAUACCCUCUGAAGCUCAACCUGAAGAGGAACUUAUCAUCUCCGCACAUGAUCAACCUGAAGACAAUGCUCAGCCUGAAGACAAUCCCACUAACAAUGACAAUGAUCAGCAAGAGCAAAACCUUCGCCCUGUACAUCCUCGUGUUGCCAAUGAAGUGCAGAUUGAGAGAAUAAUUGACAGCAUCAAUGCACCCGGUCCGCUCACUCGAUCAAGGGCAACUCAGCUGGCAAAUUUCUGUGGGCACUUCGCAUUCAUCUCAAUAACAGAACCCAAGAAAGUUGAAGAAGCCUUCAUGGAACCUGAAUGGAUUCAAGCUAUGCAAGAAGAGCUUCAACAGUUUGAGCUGAAUAAUGUAUGGGAACUGGUUAAGCGUCCUGAUCCUCGGAAGCACAACAUAAUAGGCACCAAAUGGAUAUACCGCAACAAGCAAGAUGAGCAUGGUCAAGUUGUCAGAAACAAAGCUCGUCUCGUUGCUCAAGGAUAUACUCAAUUGGAAGGCAUUAACUUCGAUGAAACAUUUGCUCCUGUGGCUCGACUUGAAGCCAUACGCAUACUGCUGGCCUAUGCAAAUCAUCAUAACAUACUUCUAUAUCAAAUGGAUGUGAAGAGUGCCUUUCUCAAUGGCAAGAUUGAAGAAGAAGUGUAUGUUGCACAACCGCCUGGCUUUGAAGAUCCGAAACAUCCUGACAUGGUAUACAAGCUCAACAAGGCACUGUAUGGCCUCAAACAAGCCCCUCGGGCCUGGUAUGACACACUCAAGUACUUCCUGAAGAGCAAAGGCUUCAUACCUGGUUCCCUAGACCCCACUCUCUUCACGAAGACAUAUGAUGGUGAACUGUUUGUGUGCCAAAUAUAUGUGGAUGAUAUUAUCUUCGGAUGCACCAAUAAGAAGUACAGUGAAGAGUUUGGAUAUAUGAUGCAAGAGCAAUAUCAGAUGUCUAUGAUGGGAGAGCUGAAGUUCUUCCUCGUUCUCCAAAUACGACAGCAACGCAACGGCAUCUUCAUAUCUCAAGAGAAGUAUCUCAAAGAUUGCCUGAAGAAGUUCGGUAUGCAAGACUGCAAAGGCUUCACGACGCCAAUGCCAGCCAAGCAUCAUCUGGGUCCUAACGACAAUGGUAAAGAGUUGGGUCAAAAGGUAUACCGCUCCAUGAUUGGUUCUUUGCUUUAUCUAUGUGCAUCUAGGCCAGAUAUUAUGCUUAGUGUUUGCAUGUGUGCUCGAUUUCAAGCGGCACCAAAGGAGCCGCAUCACUUAGCUGUGAAGCAAAUUCUUCGGUAUUUGGCUCACACCCCAACUCUAGGAUUAUGGUAUCCAAAGGGCUCAGAGUUUGAUCUGGUUGGAUUCUCGGAUGCUGAUUAUGCUGGUGACAAAGUGGAUCGCAAAUCUACAUCAGGCACAUGUCACUUUCUGGGACGAUCACUUGUAUGUUGGUCUUCAAAGAAGCAGAACUGUGUAUCUCUCUCCACUGCUGAAUCUGAAUACAUUGCUGUUGGAUCUUGCUGCGCUCAGCUUCUGUGGAUGAAGCAAACACUCAAGGACUAUGGCAUUCAUCUGAAGCAAGUGCCACUCUACUGCGACAACGAAAGCGCCAUCAAGAUUGCCAACAACCCAGUUCAGCACUCAAAGACAAAGCACAUCGAAAUUCGUCAUCACUUUCUCAGAGAUCAUGUUGUGAAGGAAGAUAUUGAUAUCAUACAUGUCAACACUGAAGAGCAAUUGGCAGAUAUCUUCACCAAGCCCUUGGAUGAGAAGAGAUUUUGCAAGUUACGGUGUGAGCUAAAUAUCCUGGAAUCCUCAAAUGUCCUGUGAUCAGGCACACAUCCUAACACUUAUGCAUAUUGAUGACUUAGAUGUGCAACACACGAAGUAAAGUAUAUCUUCAAUCAAUAAAGACAUACAUUCUAAGUGUGAAUACAUUAAUAUGGAAUUUGACUUCGAAGCGCCACGAUAAUUGUGCGUCGUGUCUGGGUCUAAUACUUCCUAUACGGUGGGUAACGCCACCACCAGAUGUUCUGUUUGAAGUGUUUCACUCAUGGCGUUACAUUUGCUAUGUCUUCACAUUUGGUUUGGCUUCAAUCUCAACAUAUCUUCAUGAUUAUCUUCACUAUGUUGAUUAUAUAGAUAUAUAUAUACUAGUGUUCUGUCCUCUACAGCAUUCACUUAUAGCUAUGUCUUCUUGUUGAAUCUUUUGAACUAAGUGAAUGUGAUCGGACCCUAACUUCUCUAUGCUUUCUAUCUCAAACUCUAUCUCUCCAAAUCAUAUGCAUUCUAUUGAAAUUGUCGAAUGUCUUCUUUGCGUCCUUGUCAGCAGAAGAUACAGAGACAACCAUUAAGUCCGUUUUCAAUGCUCAUUCCUCCACCUGAAACCCGGAGAAGUGGGAACGACCACCCGACAAUCCAGGCGUGCGUGGGACGUGGAACAAACCCCAAUAUGCUGUAUGAUGGCCACGUGUUCCUCAGAUGCGAAUCGCCAGGGGCACUUGUGUAAUAAUGCAGUGCCACUCCUGUACCUAUAAAUACACACCUCACAACAGUCAUUAUCUCUUCUUCCACUCUCGCACGAACCCUAGCGCCACCGCUAGCCCUCAACGACGCCGGCGAUGAAGUGCUUCGCUGCCGCAACCUCUCCGACACCGUCUUCACGUCGACCGCGGACAUCGUCUUCUCUGUCGUCGCCAUAGGUGUCCUCCGUCGCCAAGUUAGGGCACGGACGAUCGAACUGCUCGGCCUCCUCUUCCACUCCGUCUAGCAGUUCUUCGUGUGGUAAAUAAAACCUCCUUUUUACGGCCCCUUUGAUCCUAUAGCUUUAUCACUUCCUAUCACAAGCAGUUUCUAUUCACACAAGUUGGAUCUCUUUCAUACUGCAUCUCAUAACAUGCCUAGUAUAUUCACUUAUGCUUCACAAAGUAGUUAGAUUCCUCACUUGUACUGAUCCGUGGAUUCGUACAAAUCUGGAACCAACUCCUUAUCUAUGAGUGAAUGUCUUCGCACGAUGAGGUCAAUGUCUUCUAAACUAAUUUAUCUUCAAAAUCUUCUGAGAAUGCAUAUGACCUCUUCCCCUUCCCUUGCACCUUAAUGCUGUCACAGGUACAUGUCCGUGGGAGAAUCCCUUGGUUCUCAUAGUCUGCAUUCAUUUGCAGAAUUCUUACAGCAUCACAUAAAUUCUCCCGAAGCCAGUUCCUGUUUGUCUAGCAAGCGAAAACCUUUGAAGCCUCUGAAUGUAUUGAAACCUUUCAGAUUAAAGUUCAUGGCUUCAGAAAAAUCAGCAAGGAAGGGUGGCAGAAAGCAUCGACGAGAAACAUCAAGAGAUCUAUCCGAUGACCUCUCAGAGCUGUACAAGACAGAUCCCGAAGAAGAUUACAAUCAGCGCAAGACGCGGAUCCAAUGGAUUCGACGCUAUUGGGCAGAACAGUGGUUCAAGUACAGAUUUGUGACCAAGGAAUAUGCUGAAAAGAAUGCCAUCAAGCGACCAUGGGGAGACAUCCUCUACAAAAAUCUUCAACCCAGGACCAGAAAUGAAGCCAUUGAACAAGGCUUCUAUCCCUGCAUGGUCCGUGGACCACAGCCUGCGGAUGCUGACCCAUCAUCCCUGCUAUGGUGUCAUGACGACAAUCUGUUUAAGCGCAACUUCCAGUUUGCCCAGAACUCAGCGAAGCAGAACAAGAAGACUUUGGGUUUAGAUUUCAACCCUGGUCCCUCUGCUCCCCGUGCCGAUGGAACUCGCGAAGCUGAACCCAAUCUUCUUGGGCCCUUCUACAACCUUGAAGGUCUCAUCACUCACAUCGUGGUUCAAGGGACAGCCGUGAAUGAGCCUGCAGAUGACGCUGAAUCAGAUGAAGCGCCUGCAGCGCCGAAGCCAAAGAAGCUGAAGCAGCCAAAAGCUUCAAAGCCGGCCUCUGCACCAAAAAUCUCACGGGCGAAGCCACUGGCAACUGCACCUCCUGAAGACAGUGUGCAGUCUGAAGAUUUGUCACGCAUCUCCAAGCCCCAGAAGGUCAAGAUGCCUCUGCCACACACCGGCCAAGAGCUAACAGCUGCUGCCAUUCUGCGCAAUGAUGCCAUUGAUCUAUCAAGUGAUGAAGAUCUUGCAGAUGACGCUCUUGAGCAACUCAUCAAGAGCAAAGAAGAAGCAGAAAUCUUCAAUGAUCUGCCUCUCUUUGAUGUAACAAUCAUCCACAACUUCAUUGAUGAGUGGUUUGACAUGCCAAACAUCAGCUUCGAAGAUCUGCAACUACCCAUUGGCCUCAGUGUCGCCUUCCAUGGCACCAUUGCUUCAGAGCUAGCCCUCGCUCAGCGCAUCGUCGAACUGAAGCAAAAGAUCGACUAUGAAAAGGCUCAGUUCAAGAAGCAUAUGGCCAAGCUCAGCGUGCAAGAGGUGAAAAACUUCAAGAUUAUGCUGCACGAGCUCAAAGAAGCCUUUCUCAAAAACGCGCAGAAGCUCAGGGUUCUCGGGAGCGUAUGAAGAGCCUGGCUGACAAGUGUGUGCAAGGCUACAACGAAGCUGAGAAGCGCAAGGCCCUUGGGCGUCCGGGCAUUGAUCCCAGGAUGGCUGCUAAGCAGAAGAAGAAGCCCAUUGUGGCCGAACCUCUCGCACUAAGGCAGGAAGCAGAUCCCAUUGUCUUCCCAACUAGAAUCACUAGCUCGAAGCCAAAAGCCCGGUCAACCGCUUCAGAGCUGAAGAAGAUAAGGACUGCUGAGGCUGAAGCCAGGAAGAGGAAACAUCCUGAAGCCUCUCCUACUGCCCCCUCCAAGAAGAAGAGGAAGACCAAGAAAGAACGGGCUGCUCCCACAGAGCCUUUGAUUGUUGAACCCAUUUCCAUGGUUCGUCCUGACGCUGAACGCCAACUGACAAUUCAUGAGUCUGCUUUCACAGAGGCUCAUGAAGCUGAAGACUUUCCAACAGCUGAUCCCAUCGCUGCUGACGACAUUGGUCACCAUGACCAUGUAGAAGAUGGUGCAGUCCUUCCUCAGCUCGAGCACAGCGAACUCAUCAGCAUUGGUCGUCCUCUGACGCCAAUUGCUCAGGAUGCUUCAUGGGCUGAUCGCCCACAAGAGGAAGAAGACUUUGCGGCCCAGCCAACUCCAACUACACAGGCGUCGCCUGUGUUGCGCAGGCUUCGCAAAGGACCCAAGCCUCCAGUCUCUGUGUCUGAAGCUGAAGCCGCUGAAGACAUUCCGGCUGCAUCAGCCGAUGAAGAAGAAGUCCCACAAGCUGCUACUCCCCUGUCCCACCAAGAAGCGGUUCUCGAGGAGAACGUGACUGUGACCGACCCUCCAGCUCGUCAAGUGGAGGUUGAAAAUCUUGAGGCUGCCACCACCAACACCACUGAAGCCACUGACGCUGUCAUGGCUGAAGCUAAUGUGGAGCCCUCACCAACAAAAGCACCAGAAGUCAGCGAAGCCACUGAUCCCACUACUUCUGUUCCCACGCCUGCUGCCGGUCCUCAGUUCGACUAUCAUGUUGAGCACAUGCCUCAGGUACAGAAGCCAAUCCCAAGAUUGCCCAGGUUCCCAGGUCCUGCAUCAGCACCUGGAUCCUUCAAUAUCAAUGGCUUCAGAGCAGACAACACAUUCUUCAAUAGCUCCAGGAACCCCUACUCAAGGGAAAGAAUAUCAUCUGAUCGGUUCUGGAGCUAUCCGCAGCGAAGCUAUUACUCCUACAUUCUAUACAAUCAAGGUCGCAUCUUCCCACACAAGCGUCUUGACAUUGAAGCAACAGCUGGUCUGCCCUAUCUGGAAGAAGCUCUGGAUUGCUUCAAGGAGGUUGGAUUGCUGCCGUUCGUCACUGACCAAGAGCAUUGGAAUGAAGAGUUGCUGCUUCAAUUCUAUGCCACACUUCACAUCCGCGGGUAUAACAGAGAUCCGAAGACUUGGGUCCUGGAGUGGAUGACAGGAAACGUUCAUCACGAAGCCAAAGCCUUUGACAUCAUUGAGCUCACUGGUCUACCCACACCCGGUGAUCUCUACGAAUCUGGCUGUCAACUUCACAGUGAAGCUGUGGAGAGCAUCUUUCAGAAGCCUGAACCUAACAUGAGUCAGAUGCUCAGUAUGAUGAAACCAUUACCCCAAGAUGCUGCAUAUCCCAAAGAGUUAUUUGUUGAAGACCCAGAGUAUCUGCCAAGGACUAUUUAUCACAUCAUAAGGCGAACUCUCUGGCCCAUCAAAGGGCAAUUUCCACAUGCCAAGCUGGAAGGUGCAAUGAAGACUUUGAUCUUUUAUAUUCUUCAUGGAAAAUGCUUCAAUGCACAGGAUUUCUUCAUUCGCCAACUUGCUGCAUCAGGCUCUGAUCUGUUUGGCUUGAAGUUCUACGCCCCAUGGGUAAUGCGGUUGAUCAAACUUCACUCCGCUAUCUCAUAUCAGCCAUCUGCUCGCAAUCAUCGGAUUUUUCUGCCUGAUGUGGAUAUGUCUAUUGAAGCCAUCUAUCCCGAGCCUGCCAAGGAACCUCUAAGUCUUCAGAAUGCAGAGCAUCAAAGUUUUUCUCAGAACAUUGAAGGAGUUAAAGCAGUCACUCGUGUGUAUCCUUUGGCUGGCACUACACGUGCACCGCAUCCUGCUCUCACUGAAGCCACUGACAGUACAACUGCCCCACGACCCAAGAAGCGCACUCGUGUUCUCAAUGACCGAGAGCUUCUUGUGGCUCUUCAUCAGAAACAGGAUAGGCAUCAUGACUGGCUGAAGCAUCAAAUGCAAAGCCUCUUGGUGGAUGUUAAUCGCAUUCGCAAUCUUGCCACCAAGAAUGCCUUUGUUGCCCAUGAAACCUCUCGACGCACAUGGAAAGGGCUGACGCUGAUGUGUUCUGAAGAUGAUCUUCAAGAGGAUGGCUUCUCUGAGCGCUUCAAGUUUGACUCCACACCCCCUCGAAGGGCAGUGCUGCGACGAACUCCAUCUCUUGAAGACUCUGAGUUCUCUUCCUCUGCUGCAACUGUAAAUGCCAGAGUGAUCGAGGAUGAAGACGAUGCUACUUCACCGCCGCCCCCUUCAGCACACUUCGACACUGCUCCAAGUUCUUCUGCACCGCCGAACACCACCAACGAACCUGCUGCUUCACCUACUCUUCAUGGGAACGAGUAGAUGCUCUAUGUCUUCAAACCUUUUUGGUCCUUACUGAAAAAAGGGGGAGAAGCAUAUGAGUUUGAUAGUCUUCAAGCGGGUCCAUAUGGGCGGGUGCUUCAUAUUUUGCUUCGUGUUUACAACUGUUGUUUUGAUACAUUUGGUUCUUUGAGUUGUAACACUUAAACUCGAUGGUCGUCUGCUACUUAUUUGCCAUUUUGUGAUGCGAUGAUAAAUUCCGCAUGUGCGACGAUAAAUUCCGCACUUAGAUCAUUUUGCAGACGUCCAUUUUCCAUUAUGCAUGUCAUUAUCUUCACAUACCUUCACAUGUAUAGUGGAUUGUCAUCAUAAAUUGAAGAGGAUCUCCACAAGCACAACUUGCCAUGUGCAUUUGCAUUCCAAAAGUAAACUACUUAUAUGCACAUCUUCAGGGGGAGCCCUUGCAACUUAUGAAGACAAUUCCUUAUCCUUUACAAUUUCACAUAUUAUAUUCCCCGUUGAAAACUUCAACUAGUUUGUCAUCAAUCACCAAAAAGGGGGAGAUUGUAAGUGCAUCUAGUGCCACCCCUAGUUGGUUUUGGAGUAUUGACGACAAACCUAGUUAAGGGACUAAUGUGUUUGUGAGAAUUGCAGGAUAACACAGGUAGAAGUCCCUCAUUGAUUCGGUUUUCCUACCAGAGAUGACCCCUAAAAAUGUAUGAAGACAUUGAUGUCAAAGGUGGUAUAUGAAGAUAUUCACAUUGAAGACUAUGACAAGAGAAGACAUCGCGUGAAGCCUAUGGAGCUCGAAGACUUAGAUCUUUCGGAGUUCUUUUUCUUCUUCUUUGUUGAGUCAUAGGAACCACCGUACUGUUAAGUGGGGUCCAAGAGAACCAGUCAGAAUGACUGAAGUGAUGCUUAACCAAAACCUAUGUCUUCGAGUGAAGACUAUGAGAGCGAAUCUUGUCCAGAGUCGGACAAGUCAGCUUUGCUUGUAGCCCAAGUAAAGUUGCCGUGUGAGUUUGAAAUCUGACCAUUGGAACACGUGUCAGUUCCUUAGUGACCCAGGGUCAUUUCGGACAAAUCAGGUCUGGUUGCCUAGUGGCUAUAAAUAGCCCACCCCCUACAACCAUAAAUGGUUGGCUGCUCAGAGUUAGUAUACAGCUUUUGUCCUUUGAGAGCAACCCACCUCGAAGCCUUUGAGAGAGAAUUCCUUGCGAGGAUAAAGCCCUAACCACCCAGAGCCAAAGAGAAUUAGGCAUCACUUAAGUCUUCUUGUCUGUGUGAUCUGAAGACUUAUUACACUUGAGGACUGUGAGUCCUCCAGCCGGUUAGGCGUCGCGUUCUGAGCAUCCAAGAGACAUUGUGGAUCGCCGGUGAACGAAGUCUGUGAAGGUUUGGGAGUCUACCUUGAAGACUUACCAGAGUGAUUGGGCGAGGUCUGUGUGACAUUAGCUCAAGGGGAAUACGGUGAGGACUGGGUGUCCUGAGCUGCGUGUUCAGGACUGGGUGUCCGGAACUGUGUGUCCUCAGGUUUAAAUACCUAGCCGCCCUAACCAGACGUACAGUUGUCACAGCAACUGGAACUGGUCCAACAAAUCAUUGUCUUCAACGUGUCACUAGUUUCAUCCUUUCCUUCCCUUUACUUACUGUUGGUCUUUGUGAAGUCAUUGUAUGAUUACACUAUCUUUUAUCUUCACUGAGUGACUGCGUGUUUUGUUUGGCUUCAUAAUAUCUUCCUACCUGAUCCUUACUAGAUUGCUGCUAUUAGUCAUUGUGCUUUCACUCCAUUGAAUACUUGACUAUGGUUUGCCUAAUGUAGUCUACCUUCCGCUGCAUGGUAAUAGGUUUAUUUUUAUCGUUUGUCUUCAUAACUUCCACGUUUUGAAGACUUUCAUAAAAAUUGCCUAUUCACCCCCCCCUCUAGUCGAUAUAACGCACUUUCAGUCUUACAACGCAACAGAAACCCUCAAAAAAUCAAGCGAGGCGAGGGGAGCAAGUUUUGGAUUACAAGCCGAAGACGGCUAGCAUAGAGCACGCAGGCUCACAACAAAGGUGCCAAAAGGUGCCUGCCUCACAUCCCUACGGGGGCGGCGCAGGAGCUCUCGCCAGAGCGUAGACCUGACGAAGACGGGCAAGAGUGAGCUGCAGGAGAUCAACGUCUCGGUGUCUUCCCAACGGCGCCCAGUCCUCAUCCUCACUCACCUUCAUCUUCUUAAAAAUUAUCAGAAUCUAGAUCAUCCGCCAAUCCAUUCUCAUCCUUCUCUUCCAUCAUCCUUUGCAUUUUCUCCCCUUCCCCGUCCCCAUUAGCCAAACCACUACCAGCAAUAUUAGCCAAACCACUACCAACAAUUACUGCUGACUGACUGCUCAACCCUGUUUCACGACAAACGGCGAUGCGUGACAUAUAAUUCUACUAUUCAUCGGUUGUGACCCAGGUGGAUGAAUCUCAUUAGUCGACUGACCACCCUGGUCGGGUUCAUACACCCGGCCGCCUUCCAAUAAAUUCUCCUCCUUCGGCACAGGGAUCACUUAGGCAUAUGAGUGAAUCAUCCGUUUUCUGCAACGCCUUAACCAGGCCAACCACUUAUGUCUCCUAUCUAUCAUGUUCAACUCCCACAAAACACUUUUACCAGAUUUGGUCCAUACUGCAUAAAUACUAAUGGAGCACUCGUUGGGAUCAAACCCAAAACUUGUUGUCAACCAGUAUUUCAACUUGUUGCCAUAGUAAACAGUGCAAUUCACAGACUCAUACAACUCCAUAUUUACCAUUAAACACAUUGAACAAAUAGUCACUCCUAACAAUGGUAACCAACAGGGGUGCUCCCCUCUGGACACAGGCGAGGAAAGAAGACCUCACAGCACGUAUUCUGCCAAUGCCUCCCAGCCUCCACGACACCCGGUUUGACCAGCAAAGGCCUCCCUCCACGCACUUGAACCAAUCUAAAUCGGUAACAGCCGGCCAAAUCGAUACCCUGGGAGCUUAGUGAAUUUAGAGAUUCAUCUGCUGUUGAGUAUACAACAAACAAUUACCUCGUGAUAUGGAUGAACAAGACAAUCACAUCCCUGGAUCUGUAGAAAGGGCUUCAUCUAGGCAGCAAAUGAGGUUUCGACAAGCAAUGAUCAAGUUCAGACUCCAUUUGUUUGCAAGAGCAGCGCAGGAUUUAAAAAUGCCAAAAUUGUACCAAAAUACUUUUCCAGCCGUCCAUCUCACACGCUCAGACACAUUGUUCACAUCGAUAAUAACAAGACUGACAACGGAAUUCUGUGUAAACUCGCCAAUCAACAAGGAAAAUGACAAGUAGCCAAGAGCUAUAGGAAACUGAUGGUGACCGCAACAUAGUAGUACAAGUUCCCACAUAAGAGGUUCCGAGCAACUAUCAAAGAAAUACUUUAUUAUUAUUCCAAGGUUUGUCAACUUCGGAAGCUACAAGACCAGCAGAUGUAAUGUGUCAAACAAAACAAGGCCCCGGAGCAGGGAGCGAGUUCUGGGCUUCACGCCCUCAUGCAAUCUAGAAUCAUAGGAACCGACCGACGACCGACAAAUAUAGCUGCUCCAGGGCAUACCCCUUCCUACAUGAUGUCAACACUCUAGGCUGCAAAACUUAAGACAGGGACAAUCAUUUUGCCUCUUAUUCUCUUCGUACGGAGUUAUCGUUAUCCUUCACCUCAAACGGACGCGGCGGCUCCCUGCUUCUUGUGCGCAAACUCGAUGCCCUUCUCAAUGCUGGCCUUCAGCUCAGGCUUCAACGCUUCGAGUGCCUUGGCCUCAUAAUCGGUCACUCCCUCCAGGUCGGAAGAGAUGAUGGACUCGACACCAUUCUUCCCAAUCUUAACUCUGGACGCAAAGAAUGGUAGCUCAGUUAGCUCGGACUGGACAUACGUGCACUCGUAAACAUCUGGAUCACCAGCCAGUGCACGGAGUGAUGACUCGACAAAUCUGGCAGCGGCAUAUGCCAUGGACAGGGUAGCGGAUCCAGCACCGGCUUUCGCCUCCACCACCUCUGUCCCUGCAUUCUGUAUCCUCUUUGUCAGCUCUUCAGUUUCCUCAUCCGUGAAAGUGACAGAUGGCCUAGUUUUGGACAACAGAGGUAGGAUUGUAAUUCCAGCAUGACCACCAACAACUGGGACAUCAACGUCAAUGAGCUUGAGGUCCUUCUUCUGAGCUACAAACGUGUUCGCUCUGACAACAUCCAGGGUGGAAACUCCGAAAAGCUUCUUGGGGUUGUAGACACCCUUCUGUUUCAGAAUCUCAGCAGCAAUCGGCACUGUGGAGUUGACUGGGUUGCUGAUAAUAUGGAUAAAGGCAUCAGGGCAAUUGUCUGCGACAGCCUCAAUAAGCGACUUGACGAUGCCCGCAUUGAUGUUGAACAGGUCAUCACGAGUCAUGCCUGGCUUUCUUGGGACCCCAGCAGGGAUGACAACAACAUCCACACCUUUCAAGCAGUUGGCUAACUCAGCAGGGCCAGUAAAGUCCAUGACCUGAGAAGGUGUGUUGCAGUGGCUGAGAUCAGCAGCGACUCCCUUGACAUUCGCAAUAUCAUACAGGCGCAGUUCUGAGACCAGAGGAGACAUCUUGAUUAACAGGCCCAAUGGCUGCCCGAUGCCCCCAGCAGCACCAAGCACUGCCACUUUGUAAGAUGCCUCAGGUAGUAUCUGAGCCACAGACUUUGCCUUUGGCACAACCCUUGUGGUGACAGAUGCCCGAAGAGGUGCGGUCUUGCCGAGGAAUGAGGAUCCCAAUUCAAAGUUAACUGAUGACGACGAUGCCUUUAAGCCACCAUAGCUUGUGAUGCCAUGGCUCCUUGGCCUUGAAACCAAAGCGGCCUGAGCACUAACUGAAGUCAUGGUAACAGCUGAUGCCAUGUCCAACUGCAGGAACAGAACUAUAUGAGAUUAAUAUACAGUGGUAACAUGCAGAGUCUAAUUACAAAUUCCAGCUAAAAAAAUUUGAACUGGACUAAUAGCCCAAUACAGUGGUAAAUGCAGAUUCCAAUUACACCAUCCAUGGAGUAGAUGUAGGAACACUCGAAAUAAAUUGUAACGAGAAUAAAACAAGGGCACUUGAUUGUAAGUUAUACUAUGUAUUUGCUUGCAAGCAUCAAUGGAACAAGGGAUGGCAAACUAUCUCCUCCCUUCAUUUUGAACACGAAAGGAACUGUACUAAUUAUGAAUUACUGUAAGUGAAAUAGGAGUUGAAAUUACACGUAAACACUUGCGACAUUUCUUCCCCGACCGCGGAAUGUAAACAAGUACGUACUAGGUAGAAUCAGAGAUAAAUUUCCCUAGGUAGAAUAAUGAGAGGAAGCUAUUUCUAUUCAGAAUGCAGCAAUUUACGGCUUUGCUAAACAUGAUGCAGGGCUGUACGACACGCAGACAAUCAGAUCCCUGGAUCUGUGCAAGGGGAGGUCGUCUGUAUGAUAUGGCGCUGCAGGAAAAUCUUGCACAAUGGCUCAUCUUACAGCAGCAAUCAGUAACCUAUGACGCCAUACGAUACGUUGCCGCGACUCGCAGGGGCGGAUCUAAAACUAAAUAGUGUGCCGACACGCUCUGAAAUUGUGAAGGCCCCUCCCUACCCUGGCGGGAUCGAUUGAUUUUAACAACAGAGAGAAACUGACGAACCAACCUAUCUGCUCAUACCUGGAAGGAAGGAGACCCAAUCAGUCCGCAGGGAGUGAGACGGGGUGGAGAGAGCGGCAGGAUGCUCCGGAGGCCGAUGAAGUAGGGGAGCUGCGGCGGCGAAGCGCGGCCCGAGGGGGCGUCGGCGGUUGGUGGGCGGAGGCAGCGGCCCUUGGCUCACCCUUUGCUCUUUUUUCUUGGUUGGGGGCAGGUGGCUCUGGACUCCUGGUGAUAAAUAAAUAGCUGGGCUGGGCAGCGGCGGUGGCGGCGCAAGAGAAACAGAGAGAGAUCGGCUUUGAUUUUUCUUGCGCUGGUUCGCUCGCUUUUUUUUUUUUUGAGGGAACGCUGGUUCGCUCGCUGGACGGUAGCCUCGGAGACAACGGGCUGGCUCUGCCGUUGGCCGACACUCCUUUCUCCGUCCGCCGUUAGGUGCAGCUGGGGUAGGGCCGUAGGGGCAGGGGGAUCUUGCCUACGCGCAGUGUUAAUUUUGAAAUAUAUUAAGUACAUGUGAAUAUUAUUUAUGUAUUAUUAUAUUAUAUUUGGCAUAAAAUUAACUGCAUGCUAAACGUGUUGAGCGUUUGAUAUUGAAGCAGUCUAGGUUGUUGGAUUGACAUGAUUUGAUGAUCGAGAUUAAGUUUAAGUGGAUCUACUCCUUUGGGUCUUUUUAUACUGAUAUAGAUGCUGUUGUGCUUUCCUUCAAAAAAUUUAAGGCCUCAUUUUGAGUUAAGGAUGCUUUGAAUCCCAUGCCACAUUCAAUCCAUGCAUGAAGAUGCGAGAGAGAAAAUCAGAGGCCAUGCACGCACUCUUGUUAUAUAAUUCCCCCGUUUCUAAAUAUAAGUCUUUUUAAAGACUUUUAUAUGAAUCACACAUACGGAGCAAAAUGAGUGAAUCUACACUUUAAACUAUGUCUACAUACGUUUGUAUGUAGGGUUUUUUUUGCGCUGGAACAUCCGUAUGUAGUUCACAUUAAAAUCUCUAAAAAGACUUAUAUUUAGAAAUGGAGGGAGUAUUACAUGUACCAUACCAUGCAAACAUGUGGAGCAUAUUUUACCGGGCGGGUUUAAACCCACAAAACUCUUAGCCCUUAACUCAACAUCUAUCUCGAUUGUUGAGAAUUUCGAGAUGAGCCCUUAAACCGGAAGAGAGGGAGUAGUUGGUAUGACAAUACCUUACCAAGGCAAUCAUCACUAGGUGAAACUAUACCUGGCCAUGGGAAGCCCGGCCCGAAAAAGCCCGACCCGGCCCCGCCCGACGCUGCUCCCGGGCCGGGCUUGGGCCUAGAUUUUAAGCCUGAUGGCCGGGCCGGGCCGGGCCCGGGCCCGUCGUUUUUGUGUUUUUCUGAAGGUUGGGCCGGCCCGGCCCGGAGCCCGAUGGGCUUUUAUAUGUACGGGCCGGGCUCGGGCCCAAAAAACAGGCCCGAUGGCCGGGCCAGGCCGGGCCCGGGCUUGGGUUUUUUGCGUCGGGCUUGGCUAGGCCCGGCCCGAAGCCCGGCCCGGCCCGAGGUAUGGCCAGGUAUAGGUGAAACCAAAGAUAUGCUCUUACAAGUUGUUUUAAAGUCUGAAAACAAUUUAGCAUGUAAAACAUAAAAAAAUGUACUAUUUCAUACAAAUUCAAACAUAAAACUAAAUCACAGCUUGAGAAAAAAAAACUAAUCGUGUUAAUGGUCCAAAUCAAUGGGCAGUUGGAAAUAACUAUCAUACCCUCUCCUUUUGUACUAUGUGCAUUAGAUCUCCUUAUGACAAGCCUUUCGCCGACAAUUACACUAAUAAGUAGCUAAUUGUUCAUGUGUUGCAACGGAGGCAUACAUAUUCUACUGGUUCAACAUUAAUCAUGUCCAACAUAAAUCUUACACACAUCAUAUUCUAGAUUUUAGAUUUGAUGAUUUGUAUGGGUAGGGGGAGGCAAUGAAAGUUUUGAUUUACUUGAAUUUUUGGUAAGAUUUGAUUUGAUUCAGUUAAUGCAUGAAUGAUGUAGGAGAAGGGGCGUGUGGAGGGGGUGGGUGUGAGGGCGAGCGUACAAUGACCAACUCCUCUUUAAUAGUAGAGACAUGUAACUUUCGUGACACAAUAUUAGAGUAUGAAUAUACUGACAACAAUUUUAUGUCACAUAAAGUACACGGUAACACAUUAAUCCUAGAAACACUAAAAAAAGCAGAGUAAUCCUAGGUGUAGUGAGUUUUAGAGUUCCUCUUCAACCAAACUUCGAUCUGCAUAACGAGUUUGAAGUUGUAUUUUACUUUCUUGUCUCUUGUCUUCAUGUCUUUGAGUGACAAAGAAAUAUGAAAAUGGAAGAAUGCCUUCAGGGUGAGCGGAAUCGGGAAAACAAUUCAAUCUAGUGUGUUCCACAAAACUGCAAACGUAGCAUGCACUCUUUAGUUUAGAUUUCAUCUAUCUUCCUCCUCCAAAACGCUUUUCCCUAAGUACAUAGCAGCCCUUUCAGGGAAUCGGGCGAGGGUUCUGAUGCAUUACUUCAAAAGUGAAGUCAUUUGACUUUACCACCAUUGUACUUAUUUAGAGGAAUCCACGUGCUUAUUCACCUAGCGUGAGAUUGUAACAUUUCAAUUUUGAUGACACCCUCAUUUUCUUUUGCAAUGACACUUGACUAAACAUAUAUUUGAAUCCACAUCCUCCUAUACAAACAUGCACUUAUGGUUCCAAUAGAUAAUAUCGAGAUCGGUCAGUUUUUGUAAAUGCGAACCUCGUUGCAGCAACAGUAAUAGAUUUUAUCCAUUAGAUAAUAUUGAGAUUGCAAGGAUUAUUUCCUUGGCAUCUUGCAUCUAGUCAAGUCAUUUGAGAUUUUAUUAAUUUGAUUCAGGUGUAAUUGAUUUUAUCUAAAUAUAACCAACCAUAUGUGGUUGGUCAUUGAGAUGUGGUGUUAGUGUUAUGCGACAAUUUGAGGGUGUUAUCUCUAGUCAACAUGUGAGUUUCAGACAUGUCUUCCUUUUAACAAUGAUAUGUCUGUGUAGUGGAGCAAAUUUCAUUCUUGAGUUGACUUGUGUUUAGAUAAAUGGAGUUGUUGCUUAAGGAGCAACUAUCUCAUUCGUUGUUAUCAUCAUUCUAUAGUGCAUUUUGCAAAUAUAAAGUUACCAUGGUACAUAUUAACUUGACAUGAGACUGUAACCUAUAAAUCCAUCUAUGCACUAAUGCUACUUCUCUUCACCACCAUUAUACCAAGACAUUUAAUAAUACUAAAUAUCUACUACAUCUAAUUAAUUGUCAUGCAAUGAGUAAAAUCACACCUACUUGAGUGGGGUAUCAUGCAUAUUUUCUCUCUACAUAUGCCAAAAAUUUGAAGAUGCCAUGCAAGGGGUGACCCAUGUAGUGAAGCUAGCAAACGGAGGGCAUAUUAUUUUCUUGUCUUCUCUCGAAAAAACAACUUGGGAAUAUGGUGGUACAUUCAGGAUGAGCGGCAUUGGGGAAAGGGUUCAAUCGAGCUCCCUUGUUGAUAUUGCAAUACUGAAGAUAUCUCCUCUUUAGGCAAACAUAUUGUUAAAUCCGAUGAGUUUGAACCAUUCCCUCAUUCUUCUUUGUUGUGUUUAUCUUCCUUUUCCCGAUUUGGCAUUGACAAAGGCCACAUGUGCAAGCCACUCCUCCAGUUGGUUGAUUUAGUGGCCGAUAGCGAAUUGGCCUCCACGGUUAGCUAAAUUUGCUUCGACUUAACGUAAAUUGGUGUACUAAUUUUGGAAUUUAAUUGAAUUAAUUAUCCCAUCAAAAUAAGUUUCCUGGCCAUGCAUCUUUCUUUUCCUCUUGUAUGAGUAUAAAUUUUUUUCAGGUGUGACAUUAAUUCACUUCUAGCGCAGCUAAAAUUUGCUUCAAUCUGUACAUAGUUUUUCUAAUGUAAUCGUUUGUAGCAAAGUCACUUCCAUCGAGUAACGAAUUUUGUCUCCAUGGUAACAAAAAAAUGCUUCGAUUUAGCAAAAAAAAAAGGGUACUACGUAGGCAAAAUUUGCUUCCAAAUACAAUACUAUUUUAAUUUCAUCAACCAAAGAAUUCUUUCCAUAGAAAUAUGAAUUUGUUUCCAUCAUACAAUAUUUUUUAUUUCAAAUGACAUGAGGAUAUGUUGCCGUGAUGAUGAACAUUUGCUUCCGUUACACGAAGAAUGUGCAUCCGGCGGGGUUGGUUGAACCUGGUGAAGAUAGCAAACAUGCCCUUAAUGUAUAAGUUGAGAAGUUAAUUCUUCAUCUGUUGACUUGUCAAUAUGAGGAUGUUUCUCGUAGAAGAAAAACGAGGUAAAUACACCGCAAGUUGUAGAACUUGCACACGAUGGUCAGUUUGGUGCAUAAACUUGUAAAAUACGUGUUUUUGGUCAUCUAACUUGUCCCUCCGUUCAUAUACGGUGCUUUCUACUGUACUCAACCGUAUCAUGUGCACACAUGGCAUGCCAACGUGGCAAGGGCCCACUGUCAGCAGCGGUAACCUGCGUGCACUGUUUUUUUUUUCUUCAGGAAGCACCCUUGCAUUUUAUUUAUGUACGCAAAAAAAUCCUCAAAUGAAAUAAAAAAUGUUCAACCAACGGUGGGAUUCGAACAGAACACUUGCUACAAUCUGCCACGCUUUGAUAACCACUUGACCUACAUAUUGUUCAUGCUUUUGGAGCACAAUUAGCUUUAUAUUAGAAAGACUGUACGGCCUUAAAAAAAGACUGCACAAGUUAAAAUAGAAACCAAAACGAGAAAAAGGAAAGGCACCGGUUCGAACCUAUGACCACAUUUUUUUAGAAGAACCAGUGAACACAUAAGCUCGCCUUGUGUGGGAGCACCAACCAUCCGGCCACAGUGAGUUAAAAAAACAUCAGCUACAAUGACAUUUAAAUAGAUAAACACAAUUUAUCUUAUGUAUUCUUCUUUCUUUUUUCUAUUUAAAAGAAAAUAUAGUUCAUAAUGAGUAGACGUCAAUUUCUUUCGGACAAAUCGACAGAAUUCAUUAGAAAUUCGAAAAUCUAGAUAAAAUUUUAUAUGUAAAAAAAUAAUGUACAUAAUUUUUCAGAGAAAUCAACUAUUUUUUGUUUGAAUUCAAAUAAUUUAAAAAUUAAAAAUAUGGAUAAAAGUUAAUAUAGUGCACAAUGAAUAUACACAUUUUCUGGGGACAAAUCAAUUUUGUUUGUUUGAAUUCGAAUAAUUUGAAAUUUGAAAAUCUAGAGAAAAGGAAAUGUGGGUCAGAAUGAAUGUAAUUGUUUUUCUGGACAAAUCAUCUAAUUUUUGUUUGAAUUAGAAUACGCUAUAUAAAAGAAAUAUAGUUCAUAAUGAAUGUAUGUAAAUUUCCUUCGAACAAAUCAGUGGAAAUUUUGUUUGAAUUCGAAUAAUUUUAAAUCGGAAAAUCUUGAUAAAAGAAAAUAUAGGUCCGAAUGAAUUUAUGUAAGUUUUCCCCAGGAAAAUUAAAUAUUUUUUUGUUUGAAUUCGAAUAUUUUAAAUUAAAAAAUCUAGAUAAAAGAAAAUUUAGUGCAGAAGGAAUGUACGUAAUUUUCUUUCGAACAAAUUAGCGGAAAUAUUGUUUGAAUCUGAAUAAUUUUAAAUUUGAAAAUCUAAAGAAAAGAAAAUAUAUUCAGAAUGUGUACUUUUAUCCAAGACGUGAUAUACCUUAUUAGUCCAAAUGAAAUAGCAAGCACGAUCAGUUGUGGUGGUUAGGUCGUUAGUGCCAUUACAAGAGUUCGCCUUUUCGAACUUGCUCCGUCCCAUUUUUCCAGCCAAAUAUAUUUACAGCGAAUACUGAUGGGUGGGACCCAGCGGGCAACUAUUGUUGGAGUGGUUUUGUACAGAGUAAAAAAAAUGAGGGUGUUUCUACAAAAAAAAACAUCACGUGCACUAGCCACUGACAAUGGUCCCUUGCCACACUGGCAUGCCACGUAGGCAGCAAAUACACCCACGCGCGGGAAAUGUAACCGCAUUUGCACACCCGCGCAAGUUUGAUGAUCAGAAACACAUAUUUUACAAGUUUGUGCACCAAACUGACCAUCGCGCGCAAGUUGUAAGACUUCUAAUGUAUUUACCUCAAGAAAAAAAAAAC